AAAAAAAAAAAAGUAAUUUUCAUAUAAGGCGAGAACGAAUGUAGUUUUUCUGACCUGUGUCGUAGCCUGUAGGCGCUGCGUCGCAUAUUUAAAUAUGAAUUGGCAAGCUCAAAUUCCAAGAUCAAAACUUGGGAAUGCAUGCAUUUCUCUUUCGUAUGUAAUCUCUUCGCAGAUUUUCCCUUCGUCGUCGUUGACAAGGCUACAAGCAGUAGAGUCACUUCUCCUAGGAAUUGAAUUUCUGAGAGAAAUACUUUCGGCCUCCACAUGGUCUGACCGAAGAAGCUAAGCAAACAUUUUGGAAAGGAAUAAAACCAGAGCCAAGACAUGAGAAACUUACUAAAGAUCUUAUAUGGCAAUCAUCUAACGUACAUUCGAUGUACACGAAAGAGAAAUUUAACCACCUUGCUGGACUGUCCGAAUUCACCAUCUUCUGUCAAUGUUUCGGCAUUACCAGUGAAUGUUGCUGCAGGAUCAAGGUAUACACAAAUCCGUGAUUAGGCUCGACAAUGUCAUAGUAAAAUUACAAAAUUUAGACUUAAACUGAACUGCAUUUGCACGAGAUCACAUUGAGUUAGAGCAAUGGAUUGGCUGUUUUCUGUAUUCUUAAUUGAUUCCCUCGUGUUCUGUCCUUCACUUGGUUUUUGAUGAGAUUGGUAAUCUUUAGGAAGAUGCAAUGCCUCCGCAAGGGAAGGUUUAGGGUUACGUGACGAAACAGAUACGCUAAUAUUUUCAUCUGUAUGACCGGAAGAAAGGUUCACUCUACCCCUUGGUCUUUGAAGAAUGGACAAUAUUUGAUGGGCUUCAUGAUAUAAAACAAAAAAAUAUUUAGUUAAAAGGGAACCAAGCAAAAACCAGUAAUGAGUUCAGACAGAAUUCAUAAAGUAAGCAUUCGCAAACCAUCCCGUAAAGACUUUUGCGUAGUCUCCCUGCCCGAUCCAUUUUCAUCUCCACCAGAAAUGCAAAAACUUGCGUCCUUUCUAAUAUCACAUUUUCUGUCGCCGAGCUCUACUGAAUUUGACCAAAGGUUGCAUAGCAAGCCAGAAAGAUUAUUAGAUAGAUAUACAAACAUUGGUUUAGAAACUAUGUGUUACAUAAGCAUUGGACCUUUGACACUUUCGCAUGCCUCGCCAAUCUCCACCAAGUAUUUUGGUAGCUCAAGUUUCUCCCCCACCCUCACAUUUUUAGAUAAACUUAAGUGUUUACGGCUUAAUAUGUUUCUAUCUUCAUUCAGUAAAGUAACCUGAAAUAAUUGUAAGAGUUAGUCUCAUAAAAAAGAUAACAAGAAACCCUUGCAACUCAUCAGAUUUAUUUUUAUAAAAAAACUGUAGAUCGGGUUUAGGGUAUCCUAUCCUAAAUUUUCCACCUUUCUUGUACAUCGGCUAUACAAUCUAAAUUUGCAUUCAUAGUAAUCGAACAACUGUAGAACUUUAUAAUGAACAGCAUGCCCCAGAAGUGAUCAAUUAAUUGAUAGCAGCUGAAAUUUUGGGUACACUACCUAUUGUUAGAGUAAGACAUCAGUACUUCUGAUGUUCUUUUUUAACAAUCUACGUUGUACCUUUAGGCAAGUAUCCAUUUGUAUCCAUCGGAUCAAAAUUUCUGUUUGGCUUAUGUAAACAGUUCAAUUGAAACAUGAAACUCAUAUUGUGUACUAAAACUUAGAUUCGAGGGGGAAGGGAGUGACCCAAUAGUAAUGUCGUACAACUGAAAAACAGAAAGCAGUUAAUAUGGUGUUCAAUGCAAAGUAAAUUAACCUGCAUUUGGUGAGAACCAGAUGAGGAAAUUUUGAUGAUCCCAUUAUGAUAUUUCUUGGACUUCUGAGUUAUCUGACUAGUGUACAAAACAUUCCAUUCUGCACUAAAACACUAAACAUGUCUAAGUAGAAGCACAACGAGAGAAAUACAGACUUCAUGAUACUUUAUGGCCGAAUGAGCAAAAAGAUGAACGAUGCUGAAAUUUCAUCUACAAUCAUUAUGUGACAGAAAUUAAUGUAGCAAAAACAGCUGACCUUUUCCAGUUGAUAUUUCAUUUUCACUGAAACAGCUUUUCUGUCCAUGGAGUACGCUUGCUCCCCCUUCUUUAGAACUAGUACCUUCAUUUAAGGGAAUUUUAGAAGGCUUAUGGUCCUUUUCACAUUCUCCAAUUUCUACUAAAUGAGCAUCAAAGGCUAUUGAUUCUCCAGAUUUUACUGUUUCGUGCUUCUUAAUAAAUCUGCUGUCCAAUAGUUUCCUGUUUUCAUCAAAGAGCAUGACCUGCAGAAAGAAAGACCGAGAGAGGUACGGCAGAAACUUUACUUUUCAAUUGAAUAUUUUCUAAGGGUAAGAAACUGCUUUGAGAAACGUAUGGACUGCAGGGGCAUACAAAAGAAUAAGGGAGUCCGACUAAGUGUGUAGAAGGAUUCCAGUCUAAAAGAACAAAACUAAAAUCAUAACUACAAAAGGUAGAGACGGAUUCCCACAAAGACACAUUAAACACGACCACCUCCCAAACCUCACUGAUAUCUUGACUUCCCGUCGAAUAUUACUGUUCCUCUCAAACUCUUGGCCUACCUUUCAAUUGAUUAUUGAUCAACAGUUCAUCGUGAUGACAUAUACCCCCACAAAAAGCUCUAAUAUAUAAAAGUCACAAAUUUAAUAGUUAACAAAUAACCAAGAAGUAUGGUAGGCCUAAUAAACCAGAUAAUUUAAGCAAACAACCGAGAAGUUAACCUGACUCCCGAGGGAUCCACAAAUAGAAAGUUUUAAGAAACCGUCGUGGAACUUCUUAGCUUUCUGAGUAAUAUUUGUGGUGUAAAGGACCUGCCACUCUACAAAUAUCAUAAGAUUAAUCAUGUGAGGAUAGGGACGGGAUAAAAUAAAUUGGUUAGAUAACAAAUUUGACUCUUUGAGGAAUGUAAAUAUGCUUUAAAAAACAUAUUAGGGGCAGUAGUUGAUUUUAUUAACUGUUGUUAAUUAAUUUAUUUUGUCAGACGUACAUAAUGAACUGACGUAUCCAACAUACAGGGUACUUUCACAUAUUUCAAUUACAAUGUUUUCUCGAGACAGCAGGACUCAUAUUAAUCGCCAUUACGCUCUACUUCUAUGGCAUAUUUUCCUCCUUCGCUAAUUAAAAAGAUCGUGACGAUUUAACAAACCAGGAAAAAAAUCGUGGACUAACCUGUCUCUUCUGUCUUUCUAGUGUCUAGACUAGUUUGUGGCGAUCCGUAGCACUUCAAUCUUCUCUUCUUAAAUUCUGGGGUGUAAAGGGAAUGACAAUGUUACAACCGAAUCUAAAGUACAUUGGUACAAGCAUGAUGAGAAUAAAUGGUAAUCACCAGUAAGAUUACAUCUACAGCCCAAGUUAUGAUUCGAACUGCUUUAAACAAGCAAUUGGAAGAACGAUAUAAUAACAGAAAUGGUGCAUUAGCCAAAUAAUGGAAGUUACCUCUGAUUAUUUGUUGUGAAGGGCUGAAACUCGGCCGAGUUUUAUUCUUCUCUGCACCUGCUUUGUUUUUGAAGUAACAAACAAGAGAAUAAUACAUCAUAAUCCAAUCAGUAAGAGAAUUGAACUUAAUCCCCUGCUCAUUAAUGAUGGAAAUUUCAAAAAAAAAAAAACGAAGGAAGAAAAACUAGGCUAAUUACCAGAGCAAACUGAGUUAUUUAGGAUACUUUUCCCUCGGACCACACCAGAAUUUUCAGAUAUCUUAUCAUCACCUUCUUGGAAAUUCAGACCAGACUCCGGCUUCUGAUCUCCUAGUGGAGUGUCAAUGUCAACUAGAAAACUGUUGAAUAUAAGCGUUUCGCCAGAGCAAAUUACUUCAUCUUGCUUUAACAUUCUACAUUCGAGGAGCUUCUCGCACUCAUCAUAGAGCAUUGUCUGUGAGUCAAUCUAGCCAUUAGAACAAAUCCACUAGGCUAACAAUUAAAAUGAGAAACAUAAAUUUGGAAGAAUCAACCAAAUCAGCACAAUGUUAUCCCAAAUCAAAAUCAAAACCACACAAACCAACUAUCGAAUCACAUCUCAACAAUUCUAAAGCUCUAAAUCCAAUUCUAGGAUUCAUCGCCACUAAUGCUAGUUAAUGCCAUACUUUCCUGUCCAAAAUCGCCGAAAUUCGACACGUUCUUCUGCAGAAUUACAUAUCUACAAGUCCAAUAAAAAGAUGUGUAGUGAAGUAAAAGCGUGAAUGAAAUAGAAACCUUGUUGCUGGAACGGUGGAUGUCUAAGAAACCAUCGUGAUAAACUUUGCGCUUCUGCUUAAGGUGCUUCGUAUAGGUCACCUUCCAUCGAUUCGUUAUUUCUCCCAUUGCCUGUGCUUCUUCUUCUCUCUCAACCUCCUCACAGAUCAAAUCAGAUCAAACUCACUGAGAUCGUCUCUUGCAAUUGCAGCGAAUAGAGUUGAAUUUCGUCGAGGAAUUCCUUGUGGCGGGAAAUUAUCCGUCCGACGAAAAUGACCUCCCCGCCCGCCCGCUGAUUUCAAGUAAAAAAAAAUCGAAACCUCCUUUUUUUUUAAUCUAAAAAAUUUAUAUCUCACAAUAAUAAUUCGGUAAAUUUAAAUUAAAGUUAUUUCUUGAUAUAACUAAAUAAAUCAAAAUAUAAAUAUAUAACUAAAAUAAAUUGUAAUAGAUCAAAAUAUAAAUAUAUAACUAAAAUAAAUUGUAAUAGAUCAAAAAUAUAAGUAUAUAACUAAAAUAAAUUGUAAUAGAUUAAGAUAGAUAGACUAUUAUAUAUGUCUAUUUGUAUUAUCAUAUGUUAGUAAUUUAUCUCAAUUGUGAUAUUUUCUUGUAUGUGUAAAAAAAAAUAUAACUUUUUGUUCUUUUAAAUGUUUGUUUUUUAUUAUGAACAACAAAGGAUACACUUUAACACUCUUGAGCAAAUUUCAUUCAACAAAUAUUAUGAAAACACAACAGUUUGAUUAAUGUUAAGUCAUAAAUUGAACUUUUAAGUGAAGAGAGAUUGCAACGUUUUAAAAUUCCAACUAAGUAUAACAAAAUAUGUUCUAAUAAAGCUAACAAAAAAUGUGAAAAAAUACAAUUAUACUUUUAACUUUAAGAGUUAUAUCAUAUAUGGGACACCCAAUAAUAUUACAUGGGAUUUUUUAUGCAUACAAAAAUAACCCAAAACUAAUCAACAAUAUAUUCAUCUAAAAAAGUUAGAAAUAUAUAAUUAUUUUGAUCAUUCAUAAUGUAGUACUCUUUCUUCUAAUAUGUGAUUGGAGUGCACAUGUGAUUUCAUUUAUUAAUAGAGAGUUAUGAUAGAAAGCCUAAUCACUCAGGCUUGGUUGAUUUUUACUUCACCAAAAUUAAUUAUGGGUUUAUCACAAUCGUUUUCAAUAGUAUUGGAUUAUUUAAGUUUUGUACUUUUUUUAGCAAGCUCAUAAGCUGGGGUUUCAACGGCUAUCUAUUGCAUUAUUUGAUAUCUUAAAUUAUAUUUCUAAUAGAUCAUCCACGAUAGAUAACGAUUAUGUUAUUUGAUAAUUUUGUGAUUCACUAUCAAAUUAAUCCCUUUUAUAUAUAUAUAUUAAAUUAAUGACAUGUGUGUUCAUGCAGAAUUGUAAUUUUGCGGUUUCUUCGAAAACCUCGAUGCAGAAUCAUAGGUUCCUCAAUAAUCAGUUACAUCCGAUCUUUUCAUAAUUCAUCAUUCAACAAUUAAUGACACGUAGUUCUUAAUUAGUUGAGAGUUACAAUUUUAUAAACAUGGCUUAUCUAAAUAAAUUAAUAAGACCGAGAUUAUCGAUAAUGAUCAAUACAAAUCUAAUGAGAUAACACAUAGGGAGGCAGCCUAAGUCAACAAAAUAUAGAUGAGAGAUAAAGUUGGUAAGAUAGUGAUAGUUUGCACAGUCCCAACAAAGACUUGUAUGGUUACAACAUUAAUGUAUAAAGAAUUUAAAGAGCUAUUCAUGAAUUGAUGGGUUAAGAAUAUAACUUCCAUCAUAUUUUACGCAACAACACCUAAAAUGCAAUUUUUUUCUUGGGUCUAGUUUAUGUAUCUCUCUUAAUAAAGACGACAACAUACAACUCAAAGAAUCUAAUUACAAUCAAAGUCAUAGCCCCCUCUGAGGAUAUAAACAACAAUGGAAGGAAAAUAUUUAUCUCCAAAACUUAAAAAACGAAGGUCACUAGAAGAAGAAGAAGACGCCAAAGUUGUUUGAUCAUGAAAAUGUUGUUCUCAAACCUUUGAUUCCUCCACAUAAUAUUAAGAGUUCAAAUUCAACUAUUGAUAAUUUAGGGUUAGUUAAUACAAGAAUUUUCUUUUGUCUCAAACAGAGUAUAGGUAUGAAGGUUAAUCAAUUUUAUUUUUAAUUUAAAAUUUUGUAUAUAUAUGAUAUGGAAGUGUUCUUUGAGGUUUUUAAAAGAUGAAAAAUAAUUCAACCAAUGGUGACACCUACUGCCCUUUUUGAGACCCCUUUGAAAUCUAGCUAACUUCAAAACAAAUUAAACCAUUCCUAAAGACUUUUGUUUUGCAAAGAUAUUUUACCCUAAAACACACAAAGUUCAACCAUUUUGUUUCCUGAUAAAACAGUAGCAGUUUUCAAAUUUUCUUUAAGAGUGACAAACUAUCCACAAGCAACCCCCAAAUCCAUACACUAACUUCCGUGAUAACUUGUGGAUAAAUAAGUAAAAAGUCAUAAUCUAUACACUAUAACUCUAUGAGAAUCUUUAGAAAAGAUAUGAUAAAUCUUAGGUUUGAUGUAAUAUAUAUUUCUCGUGUUAGGUAAAAUUGUGAUAAAGACAUAAACAUGAAUGAAUUAAGAAAUUUGCACUAUAAAAAAUUACAUUAUUUUAAUUGCCAUUUUAAUUUCUAGAAAUUUGUUAUAUUAAAAUAAAAUUAUUUAUUUUCCAUUCACCACACAUAUGUUAUGGGAUAAUAAUUUCAAAUUUGAACACUUAAAAAUUCCAAGAAUAUACUGAGAGAAAAUCAUCCAAAAUGUAGAUCAAAAUGCCUUUUAUUUUUCCCUCUCUUUUCUUGUCAAGGAAAAAAAAAGACCCCCAAAAGAAAGAAAAAAGAAAAAAGAAAAAAAACCCAAACCCAAACCACAAUUAUUAUCAUUACUUUUUUGCUUAAGUAAAAUAAUAAUAACAAUUAGGUUUAUUCAUGAAAAAGAAAAACCAUAUAAUUCCAAAAUCUCUUCUUUUUUUAAAUAAUGAAUUGGGUUUUUACGCAUCCAACUCAUCCAAGCCGGCGCCGUCCGUCGGGCGAUCAGGCCUUCCGGGUUGCCGUCGUGUCAGAAAUAGGGGUGGUUGAAGCUCCGCCAUUAGCAGUCUUUUCCGGUAGAGAGACGGCGCUGUUGACGACGACUUCAGAGAGAUGAAUUUGGGCUUUUCGUUCGGCGAUUUGGCGUUGAGUUGAUUUGUAAAAGGUGGCGUAGAGAAUAAGCUGAACGAGGGCCGACAAUGUCCCGAGGCCGUUGGGGACCUGAAAAUACGCCAUUAAUGUAAUUUUGAGGUCAGUAGUUUUUUUGGGCAGAAACCAUGGCGGAUUUAAGUGAAAGAAAAGAGAAUUUAUUAUUUCUCAAUAAUUCUCUUUCAACAUAAUUUGUUAAAUUUUCGUCCGAGUACGUUGAAUUUUAGUCUUUCAACCUGAAUUUUUUUGAAACUGAUUAAACAAAAAAAAUAAAAUUUAAGAUGUUAUUCAAAAUAAAGAGACUUUAAUUUUUGGACAAUUAAUUUUAUAUUUAGUCAAUUGAAGUUGAAGUUAUUCCUUUUUUUAUCGAAACUUAUUAUACAACUCAAAUAAUUUUCAUGCAAACAUUAAAUAUGUGAUUUUAAAAUAUUAUACUGAAAAUAUUAAUAAAUAAAUAAAGAUAGAAAGAUUAAAAUGAACAAAGUACUUUGGAAGAUGAUAGUGUGAAUUUUUUUUUUUUUUUUGCUUACCGUGAUGAAGGGGUCGAAACGGAUGCAAGCAUAAGCAGUCCAAACGAUACCGUUUGCUAAUGAAGCAAAGGAUAGAAAAAAUGGCAUAUAUUCCACACUUUUUGUCUUAAUCACCAGUUUCUGCAUCACACAAUUUAACGCAUUAUUUUAAUUCAGUAAUUUAGUAAAAUAAAAUUAUAAAUUAAGAACCCUCCACUGCAAAAAAAAUUAAAAAAAAACACAUGUCGAUUAUUUUAAAUAAUCAAUCAUCCAAUCAUUAAUAAUUUGAAUUGAAACUUGAUAUUCAAACAUUCAAUAUUCAUUUAUGAAGAUUCAUUAGACAAUAAAUUAUUGACCCACUAGAUAUUCAUUUUAAAUCUCAGCUUAAUAUUCGAGAUAGCAAAGGGGAGAGGACAUUAUACUAACCAUGACGGUCAAGGGUGAAGCAUACAUCAUGAUGUUAAAGAGAAUACAAACGGUCCCGACGAUAGCGGAGCGGCGAUGGUAAGUAUGAGCCAAAGUGAGAACCAAGAGGGCUAAGAGAGCUACGAAGAUGACCUCAACCAACAUCAUCAACAACACUUUCAACCGCUUCUUCUUUCCGUCGGAAUAAAUCAAGAACAAGAUAAUGUACACAAGCUCGAUGACGACACCAGUGCCAUUGAUUGUAACGACGAGUAUGCUACCUGGAUUCACCAUCGGUAGACCGUACAAUGUCCACACCAUGCAGUUUAUCAGCGUCGCCAAAUAUGGUACUGGCGAGUACUGCUCCACUGAUCCUUUCUUCCAUAUUUGAAUAAAUGUCGGUCUGCACAAAUACACAGUUCAACGAUUAAAACGUUAUCAUUGAAUUAAUUAUGAAUUAUGAUGUUUUUUAAUGCAAAUUAGUACUGAUUUUGCAAAUAAAACACUUUUGUUUUUUCUCGAAUUUUAAUGCUGAUUUUGUCUCUUAUUGGUUGGUUUUAAACUUUUUGUGUUCUCCUUGAUUUUCUCUCUUUUGCCGGUGAUAAAGCGGCAUGCAAGCAUGAAUAGAUUAUCCUUAUCACAUAUAGCAUUAAUAGCAAACAAGAUAAACUUCAACAAAUUUUUUUUUGAAAAAAUACACACAUCAUUAUUUGUAAUAAAGAAUUACUUUCAAAAAAAAAAAAGCAUUCAGGUGCUGAUUUAAUCAACACCCAAAUACCAAAUAGACAGCAAAAAUACUGCAUGAGAUUGGAAUACAGUCUAAGCUGCACCAAAUCAAGCUUCUUGAACAAUAAAAACCACGAAAAUCGGCAGUAGGUUAUAACAUGGGGCAGGGGUACUCAUGGGUCGAUCGAAAUGGAUUUAGACAAAAACCAAGACCGUCACCGAUGACUCGGUUUCAAUGGGAGGGAAUUAAAAUACUUACACUGGGGAGAGAAACAAGAAGAGAGAUAUGGCAUUUCCUGUAAAAGAAAAAAACACACAAAACUCAAAAUUUUACCCAAAAAAACAAAGAGGUGUCGUUUUAUGAAGAAAAAAAAUGAAACCCACCAAAGAUUCCAAGAAUUGUGCGAAUGGCAUCUGGAGAAACCAUAGUGAAGAAUUAAAGAAAAGAAAAUAAGGGAAUUUUGGAUAAUGUGUUUACAGGAUAAAUCAGAGAGAGAGAGGGAGGGAAGGAGAGAGAGUUAGUGUGUGUAAUAUUAUUUUGUGUGUGGGAUUGGAAAUGGGGGGAAGAGUUGUUCUAUAUAUAGAAGGAAAGGGAGUAAAAUGAGUUGUAAGCAAGAAGGGUUGGUCACUUGCAAGACAUGUACUGGGCACUGCAAUUUUCAGCCAACACAUGGAUUCAAGAGAAGGGACCCAUAAAUAAGGAGAGAGAGUGAUAAGGGGAAAGAGGUGGCCAGGCAGGCACUUUAUUCGAGAUUUUCCCAUGAAAAAUAUCUAUCAUUGUACAUGGUUAAGAAUCGCUCUAAGUUCCUAAACUUUCAUAUAUAAUUUUAUCUUUACUUAGAGAAAGAAAACUUAGUAGAAGAAGAAAUUUGGAUUUUAUAUUUUCAAAUUUGUAAUAAUUUAAUCUAUAAAAUUUUACUGUAAAAUAAUUUAACUUUUAAUUAAUCAUCUAAUUUAAUUACUAAAUUAUUACUUUUACCAAGUUUUAGUCUGUUUUAAUUUUAACUGUUAAUCUUAUCUAUUUUUUAAACCUAAUUUUACCUUUUUACAUGAAUGUUUGGUCUUAGUGAUGGUGAUGUGACAGCCAGUGAAUGGCGUAUGAAUGCUCCUCCAAUUUAUUAUAUGUUAUGUCAACUUUUAUUUUAUUUUUAGUCAAAAGUUUAUUUAUAAAGAUAAAAUUUAGUGUGAACAAUGAACUAAUACUCUCAGUAAUACCAGGAGUUUUAUCAAAAAGUACUCUAACUUAGUUAGAUGUACUAUAAAUAACUCAAUCAUUUAAGGAUAUGUCAAGUUUGUAUCAUGAAGAGCACUAUCAUUUUUUUUUUCUUUUAUGUCCUUGGUAUAUUUGAACAAGAAAAUUUACAAAACUAUUUUAGUUCCACAGUAGUAUGUUUUAAAAAAUGAAAGGCUGUUACUAAGUAAUAGUUGAAUUUUGUUGAUUUUUCUAAAAUUAAAGUGAUUUAUUUAGUAUAUUUCUUAAAUUAAAUUGUUAAAUGUGAAGAGAUUACAUUUUGGAGAUGUAUUUUAAAAGGUGUUUAUAAUUGAAAUUAGUAAAGUAUGGUAGCGGUAGUAGGAAGGAAGGAGGAGAGAGAGGGGAGAGGGGGGGAGUGGAGAAAACAGAUGGCGGUUGUGCAUGCAGCAGAUUCCCAUAGAAUUUAAGUCCAGCUUAUCCAUAACUUUGUUCGAAGAUGGGAAGUUGUUUUGGUUUAACUCUCUUCCUCAGACCCUUUAUUAUUAUUGUCUAUUUAUUUCAUUAUUAUUCCUUUUCUUUCUUUCUUUCUCUCUCUCAUUUGUCAACGUGAAAUGCCAAAUUUCCAUUCUUCAAAGUCUUGACCAAAAUCCACAUAUAUUCUUCUCUAUUUCUUCCCUUUUCCCAUUUAUUUUAUUUUAACAUUUUUCUUUUAAUAUAUAUCUAUACAAAAAUAUUGUCAUCAAUUAAAAACAAAUAAAAUAUUGAAUAGAUUUCGGUGUAUUUUGUAACUGAGUUUUAAUAUUUUUUUAUUUUGAAAAUGUCUCUUAUUUAAAAUAUUUAUUUUGAUCAUAUUAGUACGGUUUGUAUUUAAAUGAUAUUUAGUUAUUUAUUGUUUAGAGGAGUAUACUAUAUAGGUCUUAUUUAGUUAUUUAUUGUUUAGAGGAGUAUACUAUAUAGGUCUUUUAAUUGCUCUAGAGGGGAUGUUGUUGUUUUAUACUGUAUAACAUUUUAUUUAGUAAUAAAUAAUUAUGUUGUUUCUAUACUUUUGUGGUAUAAAUAAAACUGGGGAUAGUGAACUACGUAAAUAAAUGCCUAAAUUCUAUAUUGUGUUAUUAUUCUAUUUUUUUGUUUUUAAGUUUUAAAAUGUUACAUUUUAUUUUUUUAGAUAUGUUAAUUUUUUAAAGUAGUUAAAUAGACUCUCUAAGAUCAACUUUAAUGUUGAUUGAAAAACAAAUGAAAACCUAAUUAAUCAAACUCAAAACAUACCGUUACAAUCUUAAAUCAUCACUUGAUUUAAAAGCUUAAGCUAGUGGAUGAAAAAAAAUAAAUUAUAUAUCAUCUAAAAUAUUUAAACGCAACAUUCUAAAAUAUAUAACCAUUAAUACAAAUUAUAAUUAAAAACGAUGAGUAAAAUACAUCUUCCUAUGUGAGAAUUAACUAGACUAAAAAGAAGAGAAAUAUAUUCUUCGUAUAAGGCAUUAAAGUUUUUUAUUUAGUGUCUUACUCAUUCUUUAGAGUUUGCUAGAUGUUCAUAUUCUAAGCCAUAUACUAAAUACUAAGUAGUUUGAUAUAUGAAGUAGAGCAAUUAUUAUUUUCCAAAAAUUGUAGUCAAUGCUAGUUGACAUACAUUAAAUUGAUCGACAUAUAUCAUAACUAUCACUCAUUACCAUUUAUGUUUAUUAAUUAAUUAGCAUAUUUUGAUUAAUAAUUAAUGAUACUAUUGACGAUUAUUGAGUUAGAUAUUUGUUAAUUUGAAUAAAAUAUAAAACAAAUAAACCAUAUAUUAACUAAUGUGCAUAUUUCACUCCACUUCUGGUAGAAUUUUUCACAUUUGCCAUUUUGUUAUUUUAUUUCAUAUACACCUCAAUUUAUAUGUUAACAUGUUUCCUAAAAUAAUUAUUAACAACAAAUCAUUUUAAUAAGUCGAACUUCAAAACUUAAAAAAUGUCUCGUUAAUCAGUAGACAUUAAAAAGUCAGUCAUUCAAGAUUAUUAAUUGAAGUUGAGUAAAUUACAAAACAUCGAUUUUCAUAAGAAAUGUUGUCGUUUGAAUAUGUUUUGAAAAUCUAUAAGUGGCUGAUCUUUUUUUUAAAAAAAAAGCAACAAAUUAAUAGGAAUUUUAAAUUAAUUUAAAGUAGGUAUCAAAUUAAAUUGAAUAUGUAUUAAGUACAAUAAAUUUAAUGAAAUCAAAUGACGAUAAUAAUAAUUUUGGUGGUUAAAAUGCUCUUGUGUAUUUUAAUAUUUCAAAUUUAACUUCUACAGAGUUAAUUUAUAAUAUUUAUUAAUAUUACUAGUCAAUGUUGAUUAUAAAAAUUCAAAAACUUAAAUUUAGGAUUUUCACGUAAAUUUUAGAUAAAACGAUUGAAAAUAUCUCUAAAGUACAGCAUAUUAUAUACGGCAAAAUUUCAUAUUAUAUCAAUAUCAAUUAUCGAUAGGAUUUUUUCAUGACAAUCUAUCAAUAUUUAUUAUGGAUUAAAUUUUAAAAUGCCUAUUUCUUAAAUUAGAAUCCACGAGUAAAAUCAAAUAAGUUCUGAACGGAAGAUUUUAUAAAAAUAAAAAAAUUGAUAAACUAUUUACGUUUGAAAAUAAAGUUAAUUAUGUUUAUUUUUGUUAGGAAGUAUAAACGUAUUUUAAGGUCUUUCUUUAUUGAAAAAAAAGAUAUAUUAAUAUAAAAUAAAAUAGAAAUUUAGAGGGUAGAUCACAAAUAUGGAGUGAAGCGGUCAUGGAGUUGGCGCUUUUACUUCCUCAAUAGCACUAAACGGUGCGUUUCCACUAUUUAUUAUCAUAUUUUCAAAAUGUUAUAAUUAUAAUUACAAUUAUUGUUGUUCCUUCAAACCCAAUAUUUUAUAGACACCUUUCACCUUGCUUUUAAUUGGGUGGGUGUGCUUUCUAAGUGCAUUGAACUAAUUUAUGUUUGAGUCUCACCUCUACUUUUUUUUUUUUUCUUUUCAUUCUAACUAAAAUUAUCAUCUUCAAAUAUAAUCCAAAUCAAUCUAAAUAUUUAAAAAAUAUUACUAAUAAACAUUCAUAAAAUUUUUUAUUAUAAAUUGAUCAAAUCUAAAAUUUAUUCUCUCCUACAAUUAUUGAGAUGAAAUAUAAAAGUAUUAAAUUAACCCAUUAAAUCUCGAGGUAGUCCAGAAGCAAUGAUUAACACCAACUUCCCUGCGGUCAUAAAAUAUGUAUAAAUUGCUCUUUUAUUUAAAUAAAAAGUUAGGUAAAAUAAUCAUGCUCAUUAUAUUAUUGGAAGACUAUAUAUAUGAUAAUAAGAUAGAAAUAUGAUUUGUUGAAUAGCCUUUCCCAUUUUAAACUUUUUAUAUUUUUUUAUAUGUUUAACGAUAUGAAAAUAAUAAAAUAAUUCGAAAGUUAGGUGGAAUCUAUUAAAUUAUUUGUUACAUUGAAGAGAAUAAGAGUUUUCAAUUUUUUAUGGUAAAGAAGAGCAUUGAUUCAACUAUAAAUUUAGGUCUCAAGUAAUCAUAUAUACUUUUGUUUAUUUGAUUUUUAAACUUAAAAAAUUACCUUUCAAUGAUAUAUGUUUUCGAAAUUAUGUAUUUUCAUAAAUUGUAUUCUUAUAUGGUUUGUUUCUAAAAAUUGUUUUGAAUGUCUGUUCUUGUAAAUAAUAAUAAUAAUAAACAAAUAAAUACGAUUUUUUAAAAAGAGUAAAUAUUAAAUUUAUUUAUAAAAUAUAAUAAUAUUUUAUAUAUAGUUUCAUUUUUAUAUCAUUACACUUCUCAUAAAUAAAAAUAAAAGAAAUUAAACAAAUUCUUUCCGCUCCAUAUUUUUUUUCGUUUUACGUUUUUCGUUUAUAAAAUUUGCAUCUUAUCUUAUCUCUGAACUGUACUUUUUAUUUUUCCAAGAAUCAAGAAUAUUUUGGAAAGAAACAGAAAAAGAGGUACUAAAUUACAAAUGACGUCAAAUUUUAUAUUAAGGAAUAAUUUGUCAAAUUAGAAAUACAAGGCAAAAAAAAGAGUAAUAUAAUAUCAUUUCUUGUCUAAAAACCAUAAUUUGUACCACUUUUAAGUUGGUGAAAAUUGAAAUUGGAGUAAAAAGAUAAUAACGUGACAUUAUUAUUAACUUUUAAUAUAAUAUAUGCUUUUCAAGGUUAAACAAUAGUCCUAAUCUGUUGUAGUUACUACCAAGAUAGAGGCAGAUAGAUAUAUUUGAUGUUAAAGGAUAUAUAUGUUAAUUCAUAGAUCAGAUUGGUAUUUCUUUAACAUCAAACCAUAUAUUACUUAGUUAACUCCAAUCAUGUCAUUGAAUAUAGAGUUCUGUUAAUAGUUUGAACAUUAUACUUAAUUUUUUAUUUUUGAAAAUUUUAAUUUAUAUAUUUUAUCGAGAGUUCAUGCAGUUUCAUAUAGCUAGAGUAAAGAUGAUUUUAAAAAUAUAUAUAUAUAUAUAUAUAAAAACUUUUAAAAAUCUUUUUAUUUCCCUCGAAAAAUAGAAGAUACAACAACUUAACAUAGAAAAUAUUUGCAAAAUUGAAGAAAGUCAUGAUUAGUAAAAAAAAUCUGAAAAGUUAAAGUUCAUACUUAUCUUAAUAGCCAUGGAAAAUAGAGAUAUUUAAAUGAAUUACCAUAUUUUAAUUAUUUAAUAGGUGUUAACUAAACCGAAAGUUUCCUUCUUUAAGAAUUUAAGUUAAAAUUAUAAAUCUUGAAAUUAAUGAAUCUCCAAAUAAACUAAAUAAGAGUAUAACGUUCUAGAACUACACAUUAAAUACAAAUCAAAUUCAAAUUUUGAGUCAAUUAAACUUUAUAUAGAAAUGAAAUAAACUAAAAAAAACGGUAUUGUUUCUUUUUUUUAUUAUUGUUUUGGAAAGAUAAUAAAGAAAAAGAUAUUUUUAAAAAUAACAAAAUAUUAAACUUUUAAAAAAUAUAACAAAUUUUAUCCAUUUUUUCAUAAAUUGUAAAUCACUUCAAUAUUCCGUUAAACCCUCCUAAAAAUAUAUAUAUUUAAAAUAAAUAUUUAAUUAUUGAAAAGUUUAAAAACAAAUAAUUACUUAAUUUUUAUAAAUAUAACAAAAGUGUCAUUAAAAAAUAUAUAUGAAAUUUAUCAUUUUUUAAAACAUUAGGUUUGUCCUUCUUUAUCCUCAUCUCCUGGGAUAUUUUUUAUUUUCAUAGUUUUUAUUCUUCUUCUCAAUAUUUUUCAGAAAUAUUUUAAUAUCCUCCCUUUUAAUUUACUUUUGUUUGCAAUUUUUCUUUUUCUUAUCAUCAUUUUUUUGUAAGUAUUUUUUCUUUUUCUUUCUAUCCUUCUUUCUUCGAUAUUUUUUUAAAUUUUAGUCAGAUUGUUAUUUUAUUCAAUAAUAUAUUUUUUUCUAAUUGUUAUUUGAUUUUUUAAGAUCAUCGUUUUUAAAUAUAUUAGAUGUCAUGACAUUUUUUAUAUUGUUUAUUUUAGGUUUUUAGGUUUUUUAUUUUUAAAAUUGUAAAUAUUUGGGUGUUUGGUUGUAUUUGAGAAUACUGUUAGAUACUUUGUAUUAAUUUUAAAGACUAAAGUAUAUAAUUAAGAAAAGGCAAGAAAAAAUAGACGGGUGUGUCGGUGGAGGGAAUCUAGAAGUUAAUUCGGGCACAUUAUUCGAAUAAAUGACUUUUGUUACCAAUAAUUGAUUUACAACUCACAUGGCAUUUCAAUGUUUAAACAAAAUAUAUUCGGUGAACGAUUUCACAAUAAUUUUCAUUUCAACUCUAUUCCAAUUUCGACAUUUAAUUUUAUAAUAUAAAGUUCAAACCUAUCAAUUUUUUUAAGGUUAUUUUUUCAUUCCCUUCUAAGAAGAGUUUUAUUGCACCCAAAUUGAUAUUUCUUCCCUUUGUGACAUCGAAAUAUUCACAAGAACGAUGGUUGAUAUCAAGGAUCAAUUCACUUUUGUUUCUUUCUUCAAUUACGACAUCGUUACAAACCUUUUCAUUCGUUUUUAGUAAUUUGAAUUUUCAACUUUAGUAUUUGAUGUUUUGGUAUGUUCCUUCUGCAUAGUGAUUUUGUUUAGGUUAAAAACAUCAUUUUAGUUGUUUGAAUUUAAUCUUUAUAUAUAUAUAUAUAUAUUUAUUGUGAAUCUUAAAUUAAUUCAUGUACUUUUAUAUUUAACUUAAAAUAUUAAAUUUAAGAUCUACAAAAAUACGUAGAUAAAUCGUUUAGAUUUAUUGAAAUAAAAAAAUAGAGAAACCAUAAUAGAUCAAAAUAUGUACUAAAACCAAAAAGAGCUUUCCUCUCGUUUUAUGAGUUGUGUUUAUUUAUUUUAUUUUCUUUUUGAGUUAAGAUAUUGCUAGACUUGUCGGUGUUCAACUAAUAAGUUAAGUUGAAUUCGUAUAAUUUAAAAUUUUAAAAUUAUAGAGUAUUUACAUUAGUUAUGUUCCUAAACUUCUCAUCGAUUUAUUUUGAUGAUGAAACCGAGCAUGUCUAUAUCUAAUAUUCCAACCUAAGUUUUAUAAAAAUUCAAAUUUGGUGGACUAGCAAUUAGCUGGCCAAAUACCCUAGAAAUGUAGUGAGCUUUUCUUGAGAAGACAAAUAGUACUAAGAAGAGAGUAAAGACAAUAUACCUUUUUUUUUAGUAGAAUUUGAGGCUUGGAAUGUGAAGUAAUAACAGUAAUAAUACAUAUAUAUUGAUAUGAUCUCAAAGUUGAAAAUUUAAUCUUACUAUAAGUGAACUAGCUAUCCAUGUGCUUUUACUUCAAGAAAAUCCUUCCAUAUUCAUAUCCCUAUCAUUCUUUAAUUUUUUUUUUCUUUUUGCAUCCUUAUUGAAUUUGACUAAUGUGUAUCGAUCAGUGUUUGAUUUAUUCACUUUAAUUUAAACACCACACUCCACUAAUUUUCCAAUAUAAAUGUAAAUCAUAAUGAAAUGAAUAGCUAAGGUAUAGUAGAUCAAAACACAAUUGUCUUGUAUAGAUGUGAGGAAAAGCAAAUCAAAUGGUAUAUUGGAUUAGUCAAUGAGAUAAACAUAUACUAAAAUAAGAGAGUUUUUUUUUUUUUAUAGAAAUUUGAAGUUUAAUUGAUCAUGACCCAAAAUAAUUGAAGGAGACUAUUUGAAAAUACAAUGGAAGAUUUACAACACACUCUCUUUAGGAGCAUAUAUUAGUGGGAAGAAGUUUUUGAUCAGUCAAUAUUAUUCUCUCUUUUCACCAAAAGCAAUUAAUUGCUUUGCACAUCCUUCUAAUCUAUGGAUAAAUUCUACUGGAAAUUAAAACUACUUCCCAACGACAAAUCUCUAAUGGGAUAGUUUAUCACUUUCCAGUUAGAAAGGCUCACAAAACAACACACACAUAAGAAGAAAUGGACAUUAACGAAUACAAUAACCAAAGUACACCUCGUCAAAGCUCUAGGCAAUUGCAAUAGUGGCAUCCACCAAACACGUAAUCACUCUUGGCUAUUGCAACAAAGGAAUUGAUUACUAACACUUUUUUCAAUAGCAUUAUAUCAACUACCAUCACAUCAAAAGUGAAAAAGUGAGUCAUAAUAUUUGUAAUAAGAUCAUGUCAAGGCCACAAACAUUUUAGGUAAGUUUGAAUUUCAUACAAACACACAGUAGGAAAAAGCUGUAGGAAGGGGUAGAUCCUUUUUGGAGGGACCAAAAUUUCACAGCACAAAAGAAAUUUGAAGGCAUUUGGGACAAAGAAAUGGUCUUUGUUUCAUAAAAGGAAGCAUCAAAUGCUUAUUCUUGUACUUUCAUUCCUAUCUCUAAACAAAAAGAAGACUAAUACCACUUCAGAUAGUUUUCAAGUAAUUAAUGAUAUAUAUUUUUAUUUGUUUUUUUGGUUUUAAGUUUAAUCAACUAUUUUACAUUAUGGAAAGUGCUUUUUUUAAUGCUUUUAAAGUCUUGGUUUUCCAGCUUGCCAAACAUGGAGAUGGAGAUGCAGUAUGUACAGAUGGGAAAAGAAUUGAAUGGAUGUGGCCCUUGAGAAAUUUGUUAAUCACAUUGAGAAAAUGAGGGUUUCUUUUGGUCUUAUGGAACAAUGAUUGAGUGCCCUACUUUUUGCUACUUUGCCAUUUGGUUUGCCAUCUGUCUAUUAUGGGUGUGUGAAGUGAAUCUUCUUAAUUAGGAGUGCAAACUAAUCAAUAGUUUGUCAAAUAAUGAAAACAUAUAUUUAUGGUAUGCAUAUAUAUCCACGAGAAUGACCAUUACCGUUGAUGUCAAAAUUCAGAUAGAAAAAACAGAUAUAACUUUCUUAUGAUAUGGAUGAUAGAUUUAUUUGAAGUGAAGAAGAAAAAAUGUGAUUUGCAAAAGAGAAUGCACACUGUGAAAAUAAUAUAAUCUAAAAGAUACAAAUUGUGAGAUAAAAAAUUUGUAUAGAAUUUUCGUUAUUCUAUAAGAACCUAAACUAAAUUAUGUGUUUAUGCUUUUUACAAUUGUGCAACUAAUUACUUGGGAGUAAGUUUAGCUUAAGCGUUAUAACCAAUUUUAUGUUGAGAAUUUUCAAUACAAGAGGGGAAAUGGUAAAACAUAUUUGAAAAGUUUUUUACUAUGCAAAUAAACAAGAUUAAGUAAGCCUAAUUUGAUAAUGAUUUUAUAAUUUAUGCUAAUUUUCAUCCAAAUCUUAUAUUGUAAUUAUUACAAUCAUCAGAUAAACACUAGAAUUUCAAGUCAAAUUCUGAAAAUAAAAUAUGUUUUAAAACUAUAUUUUUUUAAAGAUAUUGUCAAACUUAUUUAUCAAAAUCUAGCUUAUAAGCAAUGCUUCCCAUAAUAAAUUUAUAUGAUUUUUUAUUUAUUAUUUUUAUUAAUAAUUUAAAAAAUCAAGUGAACAUUUUAAAAACUAAAAUGUAUAGUUUUCAAAAUUUUAUUUGUUUGUUUUACAAAAAUGAAAUUUUUUAUUAAACAAACGUAAAUCUAUAAAAAAGAAAAAAUAAAAAAAAUUAAACAAAAUAAUCACCAAACCUAACUUUAACAAUUAUCAAACGAGGUAGAAUAUUAGGGGUCUAUUUCUUUUUCCUUUAGAAUCAGAAGAAAGGAUAUCGUUGUUUGACUCGUAAAGGAUUAUUCUUUCCAUUCUAGCCUUCUCUUUUUUUAUCUCUCAAUAUGUAUUUUUAUUCAUCCUAUACAAUCCUUCCUUACCAACUUUUCUUUUUGUAAGUAAAAAUCGAGUAUAUAACUUUAAGUCCACGAUAUAAAUAUAUAUCACUUGAGUUAUAUUCGUUUUGGCUACUUAGUUUUUGUUCGCUUCAACAUAUAUUAAUUAAUUAAUAAAAUAUUAAAGACGUGAGUACCAUUGCAAGUUGUAAAACUUGAGCUUAGGAUGUAACAAAACCCAACAAAAUAAUUUGGCUUAAUAAUUUUCAAAGAAAAGAGAAACCAUGUAGGCUGUCAUAUAAUAGAUCCAAUGGGCUUUCUACUUUGGACUUAGGAUGUAACAAACCCAACAAAAUAAUUAGGCUUAAUAAUUUACAAAAAAAGGAAAGAAAAAAGAAACCACGUAGGCGUCAUAUAAUAGAUCCAAUGGGCUUUCUACUUUGGGCAUAGGAUGUAACAAACCCAACAAAAUAAUUUAGGCUCGAUAAUUUACAAAAAAAAGAGAGAGAAAAGAAACAACGUAGGUGUCAUAUAACAGAUCCAAUGGGCUUUCUACUUUGGGCCUAGGAUGUAACAAACCCAACAAGAUAAUUUGGGCUUAAUAAAUUUACAAGGAAAAUAAAGAAAAAAGAAAUCACGUUGCGAUCCAAUGGGCUUUCUACUUUGGGCUUAGGAUGUAACAAACCCAACAAAAUAAUUUUCGCUUAAUAAUUUACAAAGAAAAGAAAGAAAAAAGAAAUCACGUAGGCCUCAUAUAAUAGAUCGAAUGGGCUUUCUACUUUGGGCUUAGGAUGUAACAAACCCAAUAAAAAAUUUGGGCUUAAUAAUUUACAAAGAAAAGAGAGAAAAAAUAAUUCACGUAGGCGUCAUAUAGUAGAUCCAAUGAGCUUUCUACUUUGGGCUUAGGUUGUAACAAGCCCAAAAAAAUAAUUUGGCUUAAUAAUUUACAAAGAAAAUAAAGAAAAAAGAAACCACGUAGGCGUCAUAUAAUAGAUCCAAUGGUCUUUCUACUUUGGGCUUAGGAUGUAACAAACCCAACAAAAUAAUUUGGGCUGAAUAAUUUACAGAAAAAGAGAAAAAAAUAAAUUAUGUAGGCGUCGUAUAAUAGAUCCAAUGGGCUUUCUACUUUGGGCUUAGUAUGUAACAAACCCAACAAAAUCUAAUGUCUUAUUAUUUCAUUCCAUCAGGAUGUUUGUAAUCUUCAUGCUCCAACUAGGAGUAUGAAAUUUGAAAAAUAUUUUCAUGCAUUAUUUGUAUAUUUUUCAUUUUAUUUUCUGUUUGGUUUACUCUAUAGCAGUCUUUAUAUAUUUGACAUUACACUAAAUAACAAGAUUAAGGAAACAAUUGUACUAAAAGUUCUAAUAUAUUCGGUUAUGCUAAAGGUUAUUUAUGGUGCAUGUUCGUAUCAAUUUUUUUUAGAAUAAAUAUAAUUCAUAUAAUACAAUAUCACUCAUGUAUCAAUUAAUCUCUUAUAAAAUGUUAUAACUAGAAAAAUAAGAAAAAAAAACAAAGUGAAACAAUUUUCAACUAUACAAAUAUAAUAAUAAAAUUUAAGAUUUUAUCAAUACUUGACUCGUAUUGGCCAAACCCAAACAUCUCUCCCUACUCUAUUUUAGUUUUAGGGUGAUCUUUUUUAUUAUAUAUGCACAACACAUGACCCAUUCACCUCAACCUUAAUCAAAACUAAGCACAUUCACUUUGACUUUGACACAAGGUAACCCUCUGGUAUUCUUUUUCCAAAAUUGGCAUAGAUGCUAUUACUUUUUUUAACUAUAUCAUCGUAUUUAUUACUUUUCAUUUUAUUUUGAGUCGACUAUAAAAAUUUAAUGAUACAAGACUACAAUAACAUAUCUAAUAUAACUUAUACGUUGUAUACAAUAACAUAUAGAGCAUAUAGUCUUUUUUUUUUUUUUGUUGAGAUUUAAGUAUAUUGGAUUUUCAUAAUCCAAUAUAUCAAAUUAUUAUAUUUGUAAAUAUUUGAAACAAACUUAUUAUUAUAUGUAAAUAUGAUUUGUUGUUUUGUUUGAAGUCAAAAUUAAUUAAACUUUUUGAUAUCUCUAGGUUUGAAUUUGAAAGUUGAAUUACAAUUGAAUUUAAAAGUAAAGAUUGGAAUAUUUUAGUUUUACUAUUUCUAUGACAACACUUUAAUUUGGGGAACUAUGUAGAACCCUCUUCACAAACAUAGGAAAAUAAAAAUAAAAAUGUAAAUCAAAGAGAGAUCGAUGGAGUUUAAAACGGGUCAACAUGUACGUAUCAGCUCCAAUUAAAUAUUGCCACGUGUAAUCAAAGCCAAAUCAACGGCCCGCAUCACCCCAACGCUAGACGCAAUAUUAUUGGUUGCUAACACGUUACACGAAAUCUUAUUGGUCCACGUCAUCAAGAGUGACAUGGUCCUGCGCAAGAUGCAAUGGUCGUGGCAACCAGAAAUUUCCAUCGAUCUCUCUAUAAAACCACACCUCCCGCUUUCAGUCUCUUCCAAAAUCUCUAAACCCAAAAAACGAAAGCGAAAUCCUUCUUCUUCUUCAUAAUCUCAACGUUCACAGCUUCCAUAGAUUGCAUUUUCACAAGAUUAUCGCCAUGGCUAGCUCCUGGAGAGCUCGAGGAUCUCUGAUCGUUCUAGCAAUUGUUUUCUUCGGUAAUGUUUUUCCCCUUGCCUUAGAUCUGGUUUGUUCUUGUUUAGUUUGCUUUAGGGAAAGUGUUUAGAUCUUCUAGGUGGUGUGAGAUUCGGUUUUCUAGCGGUUUAUUUCAGGAGAUUGUAGUAUGAUUGUUUUUACUGUAACGGAUGUUUGCUAGUUUCGUGGUGGUAUUUGUUAUGGAGUUUUAGUUAUAGAUCGAGGAGUAUUUUUAUUGGCAUUUGCUGAUUUUUUUUCGUUUUAGACGGGAUAAUGGUAGCUCAAUGGAUCUUGAUACUGUUAUUAUGGUGAUGUCUUUGAGAUUCGUGGCGAUCUACGCGACAUUCUUUGGAUUUUUGUUUGCUUUCUAUGUUUAUGCAUUGUAAUCCUUUAUGUUUCUCUAUCUUUUAAAUUUGGUUUAUGAUUAGGGUAUUGAGUUGGUGUGUUUUAUCUGAAAUUUUGUUAUAGUUGAGUUGAUAAUGGUAGUGGUGUUUCAUUAGAUGUCACUACAUGUCGGCAUUUCUUUUUAGUAUUGUAUCGCUCGUAGGCGUAAUGUUUGAGUGUAGUAGUCCAUGGAUGUUCGUUGAAUUGUUGAUUUGAUUUUUUUUUAGUUUAAAUGAAGGAAAAUGUUGGGAUGCAUUUGUUUUUUUUUUUUCAAAUGUAUGAGUUUAUUGGUAUUAACCUGGUGAAAGCUGCAUUGCAGGAGGUUUGUUUGCAAUUUCCAUUGCGAAAGAGGAAGCAACAAAAUUAGGAACUGUUAUUGGGAUAGAUUUGGGAACUACUUAUUCUUGUGUUGGAGUCUACAAGAACGGUCAUGUAGAAAUUAUAGCGAAUGACCAAGGAAACCGUAUCACACCUUCUUGGGUCGCUUUCACUGAUAGUGAGAGAUUGAUCGGUGAGGCUGCGAAGAAUCAAGCAGCUGUUAACCCUGAAAGGACAGUCUUCGAUGUCAAGAGACUUAUCGGUAGAAAGUAUGCAUCCAUCACUUUCACUGAUUGAGAAUUUAUUAUUUAAAAGGGUUCGCUAAUGCAAAUUUUUUUUUUUUAAAUAGGUUUGAUGAUAAAGAAGUUCAGAAAGACAUGAAGCUUGUUCCUUACAAGAUCGUGAAUAAGGAUGGAAAGCCUUACAUUCAAGUGAAGAUCAAGGAUGGUGAGACCAAGGUUUUCAGCCCUGAGGAAAUCAGUGCUAUGAUUCUAACUAAGAUGAAGGAAACAGCGGAAGCAUUCCUUGGAAAGAAAAUCAAGGACGCCGUCGUCACUGUUCCAGGUGAAUAAAGGAACAUUCAUAAUGCUUGUCAUUCCUCAAUUAAAUAGUUUUUUGAUGUCUUUUGCUGCCUGUUUCUUUACUGAAUUUUGUUAUUUUGCCUGCAGCUUACUUCAAUGAUGCCCAAAGGCAAGCAACCAAGGAUGCCGGUAUUAUUGCUGGUCUCAACGUUGCUAGGAUCAUCAAUGAGCCUACAGCGGCUGCCAUUGCAUAUGGUUUGGACAAGAAAGGUGGCGAGAAGAAUAUUCUUGUAUUCGAUCUUGGUGGUGGUACUUUUGAUGUCAGUAUCUUGACCAUUGACAAUGGCGUUUUUGAGGUUCUUGCCACAAACGGAGACACUCACUUGGGAGGUAAGAAUUUAUUGCUGAUUUAAUAUUUUUAUGGCUGUUGCUUCAUAUACUAAUGGAAUGUUUUUGAAAAACUACCGCACACCGUCUUGCUUUAUUAGUCCGAGCCUUAUCAUCCCUCAUGCAUAACUAUUGGACUAAUUUAAUCUCUGCCUCUUCUAAUUCUGCCCAAGUAGAAACAAAUAUAUCUCGAAGGUGGUUUAAAGAAAUGUAGUAGAGUGAUCCAUUUUCCUGUUACUGUUGUUAUAUGAUAGGAUAUUAAUCGAUUGCUUCUGAAUUUACUGGCCUUGAAAUGAUUAUGUGCACACAUUUCUUCAGGUGAGGACUUUGACCAGAGAAUAAUGGAAUACUUCAUCAAGUUGAUUAAGAAGAAGCACGGAAAGGACAUCAGCAAGGACAACAGAGCUCUUGGAAAGCUUAGAAGGGAAUCUGAGCGUGCCAAGAGAGCAUUGAGUAGCCAGCACCAGGUCCGCGUUGAGAUUGAGUCCCUCUUUGAUGGUACUGACUUCUCCGAGCCAUUGACCAGAGCUCGUUUUGAGGAGUUGAACAAUGACUUGUUCCGAAAGACCAUGGGACCAGUGAAGAAAGCCAUGGACGAUGCAGGUUUGGAGAAGAACCAAAUUGAUGAGAUUGUUCUGGUUGGUGGUAGUACCAGGAUUCCCAAAGUUCAACAGCUCCUCAAGGAUUACUUUGAAGGCAAGGAACCUAACAAGGGUGUGAACCCUGAUGAGGCUGUUGCUUAUGGUGCUGCUGUUCAAGGAAGUAUCUUGAGUGGAGAAGGUGGCGAAGAAACCAAAGGUAUAAAUUCUUGAUUCUUUUAUUGCUUAUAAAUAUAAUGAUGAACUGAAUUUGUUUUUAACAAUAUCUGAUAUUCUCUUCGCAUUCAGACAUCCUUCUUCUUGACGUUGCCCCUCUUACACUUGGAAUUGAAACUGUUGGUGGAGUGAUGACCAAGUUGAUCCCCAGAAACACUGUCAUCCCAACAAAGAAAUCUCAGGUUUUCACCACUUACCAAGAUCAACAGACCACCGUCUCCAUUCAGGUACUGCAAUUUGAAAAAAAACGAUAUCUAUAAAACACGAUAGUGCUCUAUGUUCUUCCUGUUAUUGAUUCCUAAAACAUUCUUCAAUUCAGGUCUUUGAAGGUGAGAGGAGUCUCACUAAAGACUGCAGGAACCUCGGAAAAUUCGAUCUAACUGGAAUUCCUCCGGCACCAAGGUACACUUCUUCCCUUUGACCCUUCAUUACUAUGUAUUUAUUUGUAAAUGUUUUCCGAUGUUUAAACUAUGUUUUUGGAAUUGAACAGGGGUACCCCACAAAUUGAGGUCACCUUUGAGGUUGACGCCAAUGGUAUCCUGAACGUUAAAGCCGAAGACAAGGGCACUGGUAAAUCCGAGAAGAUCACCAUCACCAACGACAAGGGUCGGUUGAGCCAAGAGGAGAUUGACCGGAUGGUUCGUGAAGCCGAGGAGUUCGCCGAGGAGGACAAGAAGGUAAAGGAGAGAAUUGAUGCGCGUAACAGCCUGGAAACCUACACCUACAACAUGAAGAACCAGAUCAAUGACAAGGACAAGCUUGCCGACAAGCUUGAAUCUGAUGAGAAAGAGAAGAUCGAGACCGCCGUCAAGGAUGCUCUCGAAUGGCUCGACGACAACCAGAGCGCCGAGAAGGAAGACUAUGAGGAGAAGCUCAAGGAGGUGGAGGCCGUCUGCAACCCCAUCAUCACCGCAGUCUACCAAAGGUCCGGUGGUGCUCCUGGCGGUGAAUCAGCAGAAGACGACGAGUCUCACGAUGAGCUUUAAACAGAGUGUUUAGUAAUUUUUAUUGAUCUCUUUCGGAAGGCUGCAGGGUUGGUUGAGAAAAUGAUGAGGACAUAGAGAAAUGGUAGUAGGGAAUGGCAAAAGAAACUCACUGUAAUUCUUUAGAUAGGAUGGUUGAACUUUUUUUUUUUCCUUCUUUUUUGCGAAUGAUGCUUUGCAUUCUCCAUUAUUAAUGGGUACGGUGGAGCUAUUCGAAACAUUUUGGAUUUUGGUUUUAUUGUUAUUAAAAAGUAAAACUCCUAUGUUCAAUUUUCAAUUACAUGAGUUUAAUAUCCCUUUUCCACACGUCUAUUAGAAAUUCAAAAUAAAGUACAAAUAAGUUUAUGUCAAAUUUUCUUAAGUUUACCUAAGUUUCUGAAUUUAUCUACUCAAUACCAAAUUCUAAAUGAUUUGUUGCUUAAAAGAUGUAUCAAAAUUAAAUUUAUAAAUAUUAUUAUUAUUAAUUAAUUUUUUUGAAAAGUUAUAGAGAUGGCUUUUACUUACUAAUAAAGUGUUAAUUACUUCGACUUGCAAGAAUCAAGCAUGUUUGAAGAAUAAUUUACUUUAGAUAAUUUGACACUUGAAUAUUUUUUAUAAAUAGAUUUCAAAUGCAUAAAAUUUUUAAUACUAGAAGACAAAUUAACUAAUUUUAUUUUUUGGUUUAAUCUUGAAAAUGAUAUUGAGCUCCCUACGAAUUAAACUGAAAGAAAUUAAAACUUAAUACGCCAAAAAGGAAAACAAAAAACUUUUUUUUUUUGAAAAUUAACUUGGAGAAAAAAUAUACAAGAAUCUCAGCUUUCUGCUGCAGAUGUGAAAUUUUCUGUUUUUCUUAAGUUACAAAGCAUCAUUCCUUAUUUAUUCUUAAAAAAAAUAAACAGACAUUAUGACAAAUUCCAAUCUCCUCUUGCAUCCAAUUUGAUGAAAGAGAAAAAAAAACUCAAUUUAUGCCUUUGGACAUUAAAGUCCAACCUUGGGAUUCCCUGAGCCUGCUGCUACAACCCCCAUACCACUUGAUUCUUUGAUAGCAAUACCAUCUCCAUUCAACUCUUCUACAAGUUUAUCGAUCUUCCGAAACUGAUAUGGCCAUCUCGAAUUGUAAAGAAAUUGUCGAAGAUCGAACCGAUUGUCCUCUGGAGAAUAGCUCUGCAAUGAGAUUUAAAUAAACUUGUAAGAGAACGAGAAAGAUAUGUGAGUAGAUUGUAACGUUCUGAUACCUCUUUCUACCAUAAAUUUCAGUACAAUCGAUGAUACCUACCUCGGCGUGAUAAGAUGGCGUUAAUACAGUCAUUUUGUGUCGGUUGAUGGAGUAAUACUUGAAGAAAUGUUUCACUUUUUCGGCCACCUCAGAAGGAGUUAACUUAGCACCCCACCGGUAGCAGAGGUUCUGAAACAAGAACAAAGAGUUACUAAGGUCUAUAAGACUGUUUGAGCGAGAGAGUUAUGUGAAAAUAUUAGACAAACCUUAAACAUCGACACUGGACCACAGCGGAAAAUUUUUCGCAUUCUUCCGUAGACUGAGAGCUCCUCGUAAGUCAUUCCCAUGUCAACUUCAUCCAACUGUCUCGAGAGAGAAAAAAACUUCUUCAAUCAGACAUAUGGGCAAGAACAUGUUGAAUCUAAGCAUAGGUUGAAAUAAUAUAUCCAAAAACAUUAACACAGGAAACAAUUAUUUAAAGUCGGAUCUAACUCUGGGAUAAAAUGCAUCUGAAGAUCAAUUUUUCAGAGGAAAACUGAAGUGUGAGAUGUGGAAGAGAAGAACCUGACUGUAGUUUGAACGGAUUGGCUCUAACUCAGCUGUAGGUGGAGCAGCUUCGAUAUCCGCCAACGAUGAGUAGGAAAGAUGGGUGGAAGCCCAUCUAAGAAAUGCUCGAAGAUCCAUCUUACUGAUGCUUCCAAUUGGAUUUAUAUCUGCUGAACUGCAAUCAUACUGCGUUGAGAAUCCAAACACCAGAUGAGACACUCGUAAAAUGAAAACAUGGCAGAUGUAUAUAGAAAUUCAAGAAGGGAAAAGAAAUAGCUUGAAUAAUAUCAAACCUUUGUUAAGUAACCACGCAAUCCUUCGUCGACAUUGGAGCUACCCAGAACAAGGUAGAAUCCCGGUUUGCUAUGUACCCAAGGUAAAAGUGAUGCAAACAUAAAAGCCAGAACCAUCCUGAUUCUAGCUUGAAUAUUUUGCAGACCUAAAUUUUCAAUAUUAGAUCCCCCAUCUACCUGCAUAACAAGACGAAGAUGACAUAUAAAUAGCUAAUAAAUCGCAAAAGUCCAAAUACCUAAAAGAUAGGGAUAAAGAUGAAAUCAUGUAGUGUUACAUGGACAAAGCGAAUUGACCUAACUAUCUCAAUAUGAAGAAAGUAAAAUCUGCACUUGCAGAAAAGCACCAUUCACCAUGCCCUUCCCUUGUGUACACAAUACAAUAAAACUUGAAGGAGAAAAAGAGGUAUUUUCACCUUAUAGCGAGGACGUUUUCCAGUGAGUGUUUGGAACAAAGAUAAAAGUGCUGAAACAAUUCCGUCUAUGGAAACAUCAAGAUGCCAUGAACCAAUCUCAUGUGCUAGAACCUUCGCUCUUGUACGUGUUUCUUCAGAGCUACAUGGAGCAAGCAUGGUUAGUGAAUGACACCAGAUUUUGAGCUAUAACAAAAAGAACAAAGUGUACAACCUAUUUAUUAAAAGAUAAAAUAUAUUAAACUGAUCGGAACCCUAAACCAGAUCUUUCAGUUCAAAUUCACGUUCAUGUUAAAAUGCAGACAAUAAAUCAAGAUGAAUUCGUGGACUAAAGCAUUGCUAUAUUUUGGCAAGGUCAAGCAGGUCUUCCAUGGGAUACAGUUGAGGCACUCUGUGGCCCAGUUCAGGCACCUAUAGUUAUUAGAAAACAAACUUAACCACUGAACUCACCUAUUUUCAGAACCCAUAAAUACAGUAUAAAAAAUUCGUCUGGCAAAUUCUCUGCUAUCGGUUGGGAGCUCUCCAUCAGCAUAAUGUCCAAUCCGUAUUGCAUCAGCUUUCACUUGUUCGUCUCCAUUAGCAAUUUCUGCAAGCCAAUGCAUAGAAACAACCAAGAGAGUACAAGUUGUGAGUGAUUGGUGGCAAGUGUAUGAAUUAGUAAAACCCCAUGCUUCCUGUAGGGUAUCAAGCAAAUUUUCUAAUUAUACUCCACUUAUCAUUAAUAAAACUUAGGGUGGGUUUUUGUAAGGUUCUUCGAGGAACAGAUUCCUUUAAAUAUCAUUUAUUUACUUUUGAAUUUUUGCCCAUCCUCUUAUAUGAUGGAGACAUCAAUAAUCUAAUACCUGAUGACUUAAUGGGCAAUCCCAUGUUCAUUUGACUUAAUCCUUCGUUGUAUACUACUUUAGAUAAACUUGUCACAUAGAGAUACCAGAACAAUGCUACUCUAGCUGUGUCCAUGGAAAAUAAAAACCCAAAAGCAACCUUUUACGACAAGCUGACACAUGCAGCCUACUAUGGCUGCAACAGAGGAGCUAUCAGCACCACCGGAGAGAGGAAGCAAAAAUCCAGAAGCUCCACUUCGUCUUAAAUAGUCCCAUAGCCAGCAACCUGGUCCAAAGGCUAUUUCCUCUUCCGCACAGUGAUAUUUAAUCUAUAAUUCAUCAAUCACAUUGCAGUAAAGAAAGAUCAGCCUUUAAAAAAAUGAACUAAAAUACUACGGAAAUAUACUGAAUGCGUGGCAACUCUCCUCAAGUGGACAAUGAACUAAAAUACUGUUGAACUGAUAUUGAGUGAGUGGGAACUAACCUCAAGAGGACUUGAAAGGGAAAUUUUGAGAUUGAAUGAUUGACAUAGACUGUACGGGGCUGCCACGGAAGGAACUUUAGUUUUAUAGCUUGCUUGUUCUUGAAAGCUGCUGAUAGAUCCUCUAAGACUAGCAACCUGUCAGCAAGCAAACUUCUUGAAACCGGCAGCAAAAAGGACAGGAAGACAAAGAAAACGCCAUAGAUUUAUUUUGUUUUGUUUUAUUUUAUUUUUUUAACACUUGGGAUAUUGAGCUCCACUCCUCCAUUAUGUUAAUAGCCCACCACACAAUAUUUCCAGAGGCUCUUGGGCACCAUAAGGCCAAUAUGGGGAGACAACGAGAAUUUAAAACCAUUAUAAACUAUUUGAACCCUAUACUUUGUAGUGUUUCUACAAAUAUCUAGCGUGACCCCCAAAGCAUCCUUGAUAGAGAAUACCCAUCAUUUAAGUUCAACAAAUGACCAUUCAAUUGACACUAACUUAUGAUAAGGUGAAAAAGGAGAAAGUAGCUUGGGUUAUUAAAUAUGAGAUAAGGAGAUCAAGUAAAACAUCACACGCCUCAUUGUUUGAAGAAGUCAAAGGAAGCUAGGAAGUAUUUUCAUACCGCAUCAAGAUCCACAUGAGCAACCACAACUUCAACAUCCUUCAAAGAAAACUGUGACCCUUGAGCUACCAGAUCACCGUUUACAACGACGCAAGCACAUCCAUCUGCAACACAACAUAAACUUCAAUUAAUCCUUUGUUUUCUUCAGCAAACUACAAAUGUCAAAACCCACAGUAAACAAUACACACAAAUCACAAUAUGCUGCACAUAUAGGCAUGCAGAAAUUAAAAAUGGCCCCACAUAAAGUACAUAUAAAAUAUCAUUUAUGUUAUUCGUGUACUAUGAGUACCAUGAAAGAAAAUGCAAAGCAACACUAACUAAAUUUUAUGCAAAAGCAUGAUGCAUACCAUAGUAAAGGCGGCCCCCAUCACAACCCUGGUGGUUACUAUACAUGUAAACUCCACCACGAGUAUGAGUAGCACCUAUAAAAGCACGAAGACGAACAUCAAGUUUUCUUAGUUGGUGAUGACUUCCACUGGCAUUCAUAAAUACUUCGACCCCAUUCAAAGCAAGUUCAGCGUGAGGAGGAAUAGGUGUAAAUAGUUCUUCACAAACCUCAGCAGCAACAGCUCUAACAUGAUAAAAACAAACUAGGCAUCAGACUCUCGUAUUAUUCUCUACAAAUUCAAUUAUAAAAAAAACAUGCAACAUCCAAUUAUCAACUUGUCAGUAUGCAGCAAUCAGAAGUUACAUAGGAAUUUUGGACUUGCAAAACGAAAGAAAAUUAAACAAGUAUUUUGGGGACUCACGUAUCUUGGAACUGAAUAUAUCCAUAGCCAAAAGGCACAGAAGUCUGCGACAGAGCCUCAGCAACAUCUUUAGGCAGCUGAAAAUCCACAAGUUUGUCCUUUAGCUUCCAUGCUGUGAACCACCGGAGCUCCCGGUAAUUCCCAUCAUUUGCAAGCCACAUCUUUGGGCGUAUCAUAAUAAUUUUCCUAUUGUAGCACAUAAUUUGACAAUUGUAGCGCUCAGAGUCUUUAAUAACAGGCAUGCCAAUGCUGCACAAUAUCCCAUCGGUCCAAGGACCCAACAGUAUAUCCUUCAAGCAUUCCCAUCUGCAUAAGUAUCCUAAAACAAGAAAUUUGAGCACCCCAGAAGCUUGAAACCAUCAAAUAUGCCUAGCAAUACACUUCCAAAUAUUAAGCUUACAAAAAUGACAUAAACCAAGGACCCCACAAAUUGCGUUUUGUUAAAAAUUCAGAAACAAUUUCCCAUAACCAAAAGGAGUUAUUUUCAGAUAAUAUCAACCGAAUUGAGAUAAAACAAGCAGAAAACUUACGCAUGAGUGACAGUGUCGAGCUCCAAGAAAUGGUCUUCACACCCAUAUCCACUAAUCUCAAGUUCAGGGCCAAGUCUAAUGACAGCCCCAGCACGUUUAGCCUCAUCAAUGGACUCUUUGAUGUGCUUCACAUUACAAUCGAAAUCCAUAGCCCAUUGGUUUAAAUUACACGUUGCCACUUUCAACAACCUCAUCUUUAACGAUUCCUCUGCCUACCCACCUUACAAUCGGGAACAAAAGUAAAAAAAUCAAUGAACCAAUUUGAAUAAUCAUCACAAAAGAAAUAAAGGGUAUAAGAAAAAAAACGAAAUUGAGGACCUGUGAGGACUGACCUGGGCUACUUCUGCAGAAAAUUUGAGAGCUCUGCAGAGACGACCUUAUGUGAUGGCCCAAAUAAGUGAAUGCGAUGUAUUUGUUCUUGUGUUUGAUUCUCCUUUUUAUGCCUCCAUAAAUUAUUCUGGUCGUAUUUAGUGGGGCUUGGAUUCUUUUCUAACACGCGCUUGGAAGUUGGAAUUGGAAGUUGUUCGAUUCAGUGACUCGGCGGGUCAAAUGGUCCUGGAUCAUUGGACGGGUUUUGGAGUUUGGAAUGGAUACGUUCGACCCUUCUUCUUUUAUACAUAUAAUAGAUAUAGAUGUUGAUAUGUCCCCUUCUAUCAUAUAAGCUAAUAUUUUGUUAUAAUUUUCUUUUUGUUUGUUUUGCUAUAUAUAUAUAUGGUCUAUUUAUCAUCUUUAUUAAAAUUAAUUUUAAAAUUUCAGUUGACGCUUAUUCUAAAUUAAUUAAGGAGAGUCAAAUUUGAAACAAAAAAAAGUAACUUGAGUCAAUUAGUAUUCAAAUGUGCAACACCUAGAGAUCUCUAGGUGUCAUACUAAAAAAUAAAGUAUAUUUAAAAUUUAAACAUGAAAAAAUGUUGCAUUUUAAAGUUUAGGGACUACAUUAUGGAUGCCAACAUGAGUAACAUAAUUCUUAGACUUGACUCUUAAUUACGGUGCCUUUAAAAAAUUCAAAAUUUCAUUACGGAUAGUUUAGGUUUAAAAGAACAAAUGAAUAUAAGUCAAGAAAAAGACCGAUUUUAAAUAUAGAGCAUAAAUAAAUAUAGGAAAUUUUCAAAUAGAAUAAACAAGGUUACUCUUUGGUCGGUGUCCGGUGUCUAUUUGCCAUGUCGAUGAUUUAUCUAUAUCUAUUAUUAAUAAAAAUAUAAAUCUUAUGGUUUUGUUUUAAAAAUUAUUUUGAACAUUUUGUGAUUUAUCGUAAUUAAAAAAGAUGAGGAAAAAUGUACUAAAAAAGAGGGGAAAAAUCGAAGGUUGAAGGGAAACUAAAAAACAUCCAUAGCCGUCUUGGCGGUCGCUUCUUGCGUUCACAAAUCGAGCAGCUGCUGCUUGCUGGAGUUGGAAGGCCGACGAAUCUCCGGCUGAAGGAGGGCAAAUAGCGUUGAAGCUGUAGAUUCAGCAGCCAAUCCUUAUCGGCUCAAGAGCCCCACUCCAUUUUGGGUUCUCGAGAUGACAGAGGUGGCGAGCUCAGUGGUGCACGAGGUCCUUGGACAAAGAACUCAGGACGUGGAUCAGCCCAUCAUCGACUACAUCGUUAAUGUUCUUGCUGACGAGGAUUUUGAGUUCGGCGAGGAUGGCGAAGGAGCUUUCGACGCUCUUGGUGAGCUCCUCGUUGGUGCUGGCUGCGUUUCCGACUUCGCCGAGUGCCGCACGGUUAGUGAAUCAGUGGUUUGUUUGAGAAUUACUUUGAAAAUGUUGGAAAGGAGUUCAAGGUGAUAUGUUUUGUCUUUGUUCGCUCAUCAAUUUCAUGAUGCUUGUGUUGAGGAUUUAAUGUCGUACAGCGAUUAGCUUUUUGAGAUUAAUAUGUUCAAAAUUCCAAUGCAUUUUUGGACUAUGUGAUAGCAGGAAACUUCUAAUAUCAGGGUUAAUUUAGAAUUCGCAAUAGCUUUCGGCUUUGAGAUAAUAAUUUCCACCGAGCACCGAUUAUUUCGAUGGUUAUCAUGUAGGUAACUUAAAACGAUUGUAUAUUUGAGAAAUUCUCUUGUUUUGACACCGGGAAAUUAUGUAGGUUUGCAGUAAAAUCUCAGAAAAGUUUGGGAAGCAUGGAUUGGUCAAGAAUAAACCAGCUGUGCGCAGUCUUGUAACACCCAUGAGAAUGAAUGAAGGAAUGGAUGAAGAGGAGGUUCCGAAGAAGAAGCCGGAAGUUAUUGAUGGUCCUAUACUGACUGAGCGUGACCGAUUAAAAUUAGAGAGGAGAAAGAGGAAGGAGGAACGUCAAAGAGAGGUGAAGAAUCACUGACGUUUUAUGGUCACCUUUUUGCAUAUGACCGAUUGUUUAAAAAAUGUCAUUGAUAUUCUGAAGUAUUUGCUAGACUUGCGCAACGCAGGUUGAUUUAUCAUUAUACUACUAGACAAGAAAAUAAUAAUAAUAAUAAAAUAUGUGUCUAGGACUAGGAGAACCUUUUCACUUGAACUGGUUUUUUUAAAUGGUUCAAUAAGUUGAUUCCUUUACUAACUUCAAACACUUUCUUUUGAUCAUCAGGCGCAAUUCCAAAUGCAUUUAGCUGAAAUGGAAGCAGCCAGGGCAGGAAUGCCUGUAGUAUGUGUCAAUCAUGAUAGUGGAACGGGGCCUGCAGUCAAAGAUAUUCAUAUGGAGAAUUUCAAUAUUUCUGUUGGUGGUCGUGAUCUCAUUGUGGAUGGCACAGUCACACUGUCAUUUGGAAGGCACUAUGGUGAGUUUAGUUUUAAUGCUCUGUUUGAUUCGAUAUAUACGAAAUGCUGAACGGUAGAAAGGUUACUGGAAAAAAAAUCUCAAUACUGUAACUGCCGAUACUUAAAUAUGUGAAAAACCAAAACAAAUUGAAGACGAAAAUGCCUGAUAUUUCAAAAGCAAGUAUUGGGGAGACUAAUAAUAUUAAAAAGCUGGGCACACUACUUGCCUCAAGGUGAUUUGGUUUUCUUGCACACCCAUACUAAAGAACGGGCCCUUUGACUUAGACAGAAUUUUUUCUUGAUCUUGAGCCCAUCAACACCCCAUGAUGUUACACCACCAAAGACUUUGUCACCUCCUACCAUAUUUGCUGCAAUAAGAUUUCUCAUCGACGAUGAUGGGUUGCAAGUUGAUCAGCUCUCUCCAAUGCCUUAGGGUUGUAUAGAUUAAUGCUGCUGAUCAACCUAUUUUUGUAAUUAGGAGCAUCAUUAUGUAGAAAGGAGGCUUUGUGCUGGGGGAGGAGUAAGAUAUUUUGAAAGGGGGUUUUCCUAAAGGGAACCAUUUCUUAGCCCAAUUGGCAACUGGCUUUGUGGUAUUGGUAAUAUAUCUUGUCCACCUGAAAGAUGUAGUGUAAGCAUCACUUUUAGAUUAUAUUUGAAAAUUUUAUGGUUGAGCGGAAGAAUGAUAUUGCAGCACUCAAGCAAGCUCCACCAUGUGAAAAAGCAGAAAGAUGUUCCUUUAAUGGUUUUGGUUAUCCUAGCCCUACUAUCUCUUUCAAUGGUAAAGAAUUUAUUUUUUGAACAUAACAGACUAAUGGUUGUAGUUUCCCAUUGAAGGGAGGGGAGGAUCAAGUGUUGGUGAUGGCCAAGUUAAAUGGAGAACUGGAGGGAGGCAUAUGGUGAAGUUUCAGCUGAGGGAGAGGUGGAUGCCAGGGUUGAGGGUGGGGAUCCCAGAGGGAGAGCACCAUGAAAAAAAAAGAGAAAAAUGCUAUCUGACGAAAACCUAAAAGUUCACCAGUAAUUUAAAUACAAGCAUUAUAUGCACACACACAGACACUCAAUAUUUGUAAUUAGUAACUAUCUUGGAGGAUGUUAAUGUACUAGAAUCAAUGGUUUCUGAGUGCAGGUCUUAUAGGAAGAAAUGGUACGGGGAAGACAACUUUUCUUAGGUAUAUGGCUAUGCAUGCCAUUGAUGGUAUUCCUAAGAAUUGUCAGAUAUUGCAUGUAGAGCAGGAAGUUGUUGGUGACGAUACUUCAGCGUUGCAGUGUGUUUUAAAUUCGGAUAUAGAAAGAACCCAACUUUUGGGAGAGGAAGCUCGUCUUCUAGCCCUACAGGUUUGAAUGCGACUUUGAGUGCUGGGUUCACCUAUUUUUACUUAUCUUGAGCUUGUAAUUUGCUCUAAUGGUUCCCUCGAUUUUCUUUACAUAUUCAAUGCGUUGAUGUAAAUUCUAAUUAUUUGAAGAGAGACGUGGAGUUUGAGGAUGAAAAAAGCAAUGCAGCUGCUGACAAAGAUGGCAUUGCACAAAGGCUUGAAGAGAUAUACAAAAGGCUUGAGUUUAUUGAUGCUUAUUCUGCAGAGGCACGUGCUGCUUCCAUUCUUGCUGUAAGUUCAAGACAUUUGCCUUUAUGCCUUUAUGCCUUUCUGAAAGAAUUUUUCAUCAAUUGGAUCAUUUCCCCACGUUGGUUCAGUGCAUAUAUCAGCUCCUGUGCACCAUCUGUUAUAAAUUCAAGAAAAAGAUUUUCUGUAGCAAUGUGGUUAAGGCUACACUUUUGUUGAUUUGAUCAAAACAAAACCGAAGGGUGUUCGAUGAUAGUUGUACUUGUAGAGAUUGGGUCAUUGCCUUACUCUUCCCGUCUUUGACUUACUUGCUUUGUUGUACAGUUAUACUCUGUCUCUGUGCACAUAACUAUUUGUAAAAUUGUCCUCUAACUAUUGUUAUUAGCCUUUUUUGGGCAUAUUCGGCAUAACUGACACGUCAUUUGAAUCUUUGUAAGGGCCUGAGUUUCUCCUCAGAAAUGCAGCAGAAAGCAACCAAAACGUUUUCAGGAGGUUGGAGAAUGCGUAUUGCUCUUGCACGAGCAUUGUUCAUAGAGCCGGAUCUGUUGCUACUUGAUGAACCCACAGUAUGUAGUGCAUCUUAACACCCCCUCCCCCCCAACACACACACCAAAAGAAAAAUGUAAGCACUAUGGAUUUUGGUCUUUUUUAAUGUUUCAAUUAUUUUAUCAUCUUUUCCUCCCUCAGAACCAUCUUGAUCUUCAUGCUGUUCUCUGGUUGGAAUCCUACCUUGUGAAAUGGCCAAAAACAUUCAUAGUUGUUUCUCAUGCUAGGGAAUUUUUGAACACGGUAAAGUUGUUUAUUUACCUUGUUUCUUGCUUUACAUCUUAAAAAACUACUUUCAAUGUUACUUGGUUUGAGAUAACCAACGGAUUUUUUUUCAGGUAGUCACGGACAUCCUUCAUCUUCAAGGGCAGAAAUUAACGACUUAUAAAGGUAACUAUGAUACAUUUGAAAGGACGAGAGAAGAGCAACUUAAGAACCAACAGAAAGCAUUUGAGGCAAAUGAACGGACAAGAUCACAUAUGCAGGUCAUCAGACAUGAUAGCUCAAUUGACUCUCUUUUGUUUACCGUGAUAUUUUUUAUUUUCUACAGUUGCAAUAGUUUCUGUGUGGCUAUAUUGAUAGCUUAUGUGGUUAUAAGUUUGCAAAAUUUUAAUUCACCACAUAAUGCUACAUUGAACAAACUUGUGUGUGCAAGCAUGCUUCUUUCUGUGUGUGUUCUUUAAUGGGUAAUUGCAAGGGAUAGCACUAUUAGGACUAAUAAUUACAUGUAUAUCAAUAUUUUUAAAGAAUUACAAAUAUAGCAAAAUCUAUUCUUGAUAGGCUUUAUCGAUGAUAGACUUUAUUGCUGAAAAACUCUUAGUAGUGAUAUAAUUGAUCCCUAAUAGAUUUAACGAUGAUAGACUUGCAAAUAUAGCAGAAUCUAUUCGUAUAGGCUUUAUCGAUGAUAGACUUCUACCAUUGAUAGACUUUAUUGCUGAAAGACUCUUACUAGUGAUGUAAUCUAUCCCUAAUAGAUUUUGAGAGUUGAAUCUAAAUUUUGCUCUAUUUGCAAAUUCUUUUGUAUUGUGCUGUAUAUGCUAAUACUUUGAGUUUGAUUUCUAUAUUUGCAACAACCCUUUUUUAAUGGAUGAAAAACAACUUCUAUUGAGAAAAAUAUUAGGCUACACAAGCUUAAAAAAGGAAAGAAAGCUAAACCUAUACAGAAGUAAGCACCCUAAAGGAAGAGGUUCUGAUCAAGCAGAAAGGGUCCUAACAAACAAUUCGAAGAAGAAUUCAUCAUUGGUACCCUAAGAGAAACACAGAACCUAAUAAGGGACCAAACUUCAUUAGUAUUUUCUCCAUUCCUCUUUGUGAAUUCUAUUUUAAUAAUACAUUUUUGUGAACUCUAAAGGUAGUUUUUGGUUUGCUGUAACUUUAGAAACCUUAAAAAGUAAAAGGCUAUGGAGGUCAAUAACAGAAAAGAUUCUGGUGGUUGAGUUCUAAACUAGUUUUUUCUUUAAAAAAAUAUGAUUAUUAUUAUUUAAAAUAAGCUGGAAUUUACAAAAUAUUAUCGGGGAUGAGGAAUCUAGGAGGGUAAUUGGGUAUUGACUAUUCUGGCUUUGGAUGUUAUUGUGGCAGACGCCUGUCUUUGUGAAGUGAAAUUUUCUUAUUUAUGACUUAUGAGAUGUCUUGUUUUUCUGCUUUGCUGAUUGUUUCAAGAAAAAUGGUUAUUUUUUGGAUAAGAUGUUUAAGAAUGAUAUUAACCUUUGCAAUUCCUGAAUGUAUAUUUUACACUGCAGACGUUUAUCGAUAAGUUCAGAUACAAUGCAAAGAGGGCAUCUCUUGUUCAAUCAAGGAUCAAGGUACUCUACCCUUGAAUUUGAAGGGUUUAAUGUGAAUCACUACUUUGUUUAUUACUUUUUAGGUUCUUGAUCGAAGUUGUUCUGUUAUGCAUUGAUUUACUAUUUUAGCAUUUUAAUAUUUCGAGGAAUUCUUAUGUACAUUGAAGUCAACAAAAUCUCAUGCUUUAUAUUUUCUGACUCUAAUUUCUCUCAGGCUUUGGAGCGAAUUGGUCAUGUGGAUGAAGUUAUAAAUGAUCCAGAGUACGUACUAAUUUCAAUUAGCGAUCAACUUACUAGAACAUUGAAUACCGUUUUUUUUUAUUGUGGCUGUAAUGUAACUGACUUUCUGAACUUCAGCUACAAGUUUGAGUUCCCAACUCCAGAUGACAGGCCAGGUCCUCCUAUAAUAAGUUUCAGGUCAGAUAGUUUAUGCUGCAUAUUGUUGAUGUUGACCUUUGGAGUUAGCCAUUUAUUAUCUUGUCCAAUUAGUAUCAAUUUGAAAGCAUUACUCUAUUACUUUUGAUUAUAUUUCUCGAUGAUUUGUAUGCGAUGGCUUCAUCUUUACUCUCAGAAGGAGGAAUUAUCUUUGAAAUUGAUUCUAAGAAAGCCUGAAAGGCUUUGGAUGGAAAUAGUGAUCUUGGAUAUGGAACUGUAUUAGAUCAGUUAAUUUAUCCCUUUUAGUUAAAAGGAGAUUGAGAGGUAGGAUUUUAUUUGAGGAUAUUACUAAGUGGCUUCAUGUUUGUUGGGGUAUUAGAUAUUGGUCAAUUUUGUUUGUUUUACAAGAAAUUUAAUGAGGAUGCUUUGAAGUACUGGUAUAACAAUGUUUUUUUUUAGAAUUCGUUCAUAUGAAGCAUUAAAAUCACAUGGAAUGGUGAAAUGUUUAAGUGUUUUGAGUGUUCUUAUGCAGCUUAAUGAGAUAUUAGAUGGUGUAAUCCUUGUUUAGUAUAUUUUUAAAUCCUUCUGAUGUCUCUUCUUCAUGCUGCAGCGAUGCAUCAUUUGGCUAUCCAGGUGGCCCCAUAUUGUUCAAGAAUCUGAAUUUUGGGAUUGAUCUUGAUAGUCGAAUAGCAAGUAAGGGAAUCUGAAUUUUCGGUUGUUUCACAUGUCUAGGACUUUUGGGAAGUUCAGCAUGUAAAGUUGUUGAAAUUCUGCCUUUGUGUCUUGGCUUUCAUGUUCCUAUAAUUUAUGUGCCCCUAUUAUUUUCAAUUCUAGCAUUUGAUAUGUUCUAUAUCUUAGCUGUACCACACUUCUCAUUAGCUUUCCAACUUUCUUUUGCAGUGGUUGGUCCAAAUGGCAUAGGUAAAUCAACUAUACUCAAAUUAAUUGCAGGGGAACUUCAACCUACCUCUGGAACAGUUUUUCGUUCAGCUAAGGUAUUUUUUUCCUUGUGUUUGACGUUUCAGUGUUGGAUGCUAUUGAAAAGAGUAAACGUUGAUUCUUCUAAGUGAAAUAGUUAAUUUUAGUGCUUCUAUGUCAUAUUUUAAUAUCACCAUGCUCUUGGAUUUUUAUUGAUAUGAUGAGUCAGAGACUAGAUAAAUUCUACUCUUUCAUUGAUGUUUACUAACUUAUAAUCUACAGGUUCGAAUAGCUGUCUUUAGUCAGCACCAUGUUGACGGGUUAGACUUGUCUUCGAAUCCACUUCUGUACAUGAUGCGUUGCUUCCCAGUGAGUUCAUUUCUCAUGUCUAUCUUAUUUUCUGUUUGUUGUUUUUCUUUUUUACAAACAAUAAACAAGUGACCUUUUUAUCAUGAAAAAGGUGUGAUUACGAAUUAGUCAAGUUGCUGUACUGUAUUGAGUAUUGCUUCUAGCUUCCUGAUGGAAUUUGACCUUGUUGAUACUUUUCUCUAAAUUAAGAAAGAAAAUUGGUCGUGCUCCUUCACCUUCUAGUCUCUUUGUAUAAUGCUUUAAGCCUUGCGAGAAACGGCUAUUCUACAAAUUUGUUUGGCAAAUUUCUUUGUCAAAUUUUCUAGAGCUGAAAAGUUGCUUUUGGUGAUAUUCAACUCAAUAGUUUGCUAUGUAAACCAUUCUUGAAAAUGUCAUCAUUGCUCGAUGUGAAUUAUGCAUUUUGCAAUUAUUCUUUUUUGAAAAGGAAACAAGCUUCUUUAUUAUUAAUAAACUCAAUGUACAAGAGAUCUAUACAAUGAGAAUCAUAGGGAAGCCAAGAAAAGAGGGAGAGAAAGAGAGAAAGGAUCAGUAGGUGCACCCGGACAUAUCAACUAGGUUGACACCCCCAUAGCACUCUCAUCAUAUCCAAAAUACAAGAACAAUACUAAGGUCAUGAAAAGACCAAAGUAACCACCAAAAUAACUACGAAAGCUACCUAUGGUAGACUAAAGCAAGGCUGAAAGGAAAAACAAAAUGGCAGAAAUACAUAUAAAACCCGUCCAAACUAUAAAAGCACUAUUUCUGAACUGGCAAUCGAGGGAAACUACUUUGUAACUCAUCCGAUGAAGGCGGUCCAAUUGAGGCAGAUGUCUUGAAUGGAGUAAUCUUUGAAUUUUGCAUUUGAAGAACACCAAGUUGCUGCAUUUCUUUUAGAAAUCUCUACGAUGUCAGCCCAAUUCCUUUUUUUAUCAUGGAAGAUGCGUUGGUUACGUUCAAACCAAAUCUCAACUAGAAUCGCUUUUAUCAAAUUAACCCAAAUUAGAAAAGGUUUUUUUUUAUAUAUAAGGCCCCCUCAGUAAUUGGCGCACAUUGGCGCUAAACGAACCAUCAAAGACCCAAACUGAUUUGAGCAUAGAAAAUAUGCUAAACCAACAAUUUGAUGAGAAGGGACAGAAAAUGAAUAGGUGAAUUAAUAGCUCACUGUUUUCCAAGCAAAAGGGGCACACUGAAGGCAGCAAACAUGUAUUGGAAAGCUUCCUUUGCAUAGUCUCGGAACAGUUUAAAGAACCCACUGCCAUAAUCCAAAUUAUUCUUUAGGAAAUAUUUUGCUUAGUUGGAACCCCUUUCUUCAGUUGGGUGUUUUGUUAGGCUGACUUUUUGUAUGUCCUUGUAUUCUUUCAUUUUUUUCUCAAUGAUAUUUUUUUCAUCUCAAUGAAAGUUUGAGCUUGGGGGUUUAAUUAGUGUCUAGCUACUCCUGAUAUUAUCGUAGAGUUUUUUACUACUAUUAUUUCAUAGAUCAGGUGGUUGUCUGCAAGAUUAAUUGAGAAUUUAAGUUACUAUGAGCAAUUAUGGUGAUUAAAAGAGAAAAAAUUAGAAAUAAUAUAAGGAUUAAAUGGAGACUGAAUGAUUGCUGGAGCGAUAUUGAGACGGUUUCUUAAUACUUAUGAAUCUGCUUUGCAAGAGAUAAUACUAAUCAUCAAACUAAUUUAUUCAUAUCUUCUUUCAGGGUGUGCCAGAACAGAAGCUUCGAGCUCACUUGGGUUCAUUUGGUGUAACCGGAAAUCUUGCUCUUCAGCCUAUGUACACGCUAUCUGGUAUCUUUCCUUGACACUUACAUGUAAUGUAUUGCAUUCUAGCCUGGAAGCUUCUAUUGGUUAGAAGCCCAAAACUAUUCUUGGAUUUUGUCUUCUUGAGCAAGUUAAUUAUUUUUUGGGGGAAAAAUUAGUAACUCUACUAUGUAGAUGCCAUGGAAUAUUCAUGUAUCAUAACAAAUCAUGUAGGUGGUCAGAAAAGCAGAGUUGCUUUUUCAAAAAUCACAUUCAAGAAACCACACAUAAUAUUACUUGAUGAGCCAUCCAAUCAUCUGGUGACUUCUCACUCUCUUUCCUUUUCGCACUCGUUUAUUCUUUUGUAUGCAGGUUUCGAACUUACUACUGUUUUAUUUUGUCAUCAUGUGUAGGAUCUGGAUGCAGUGGAGGCUCUAAUCCAAGGCCUUGUCUUGUUUCAAGGAGGCAUUCUCAUGGUACGUUCGGUUCCCCCACCUUGUCCUUUUCCAUCCUCGAUCAGUUCAUUUCAGUCAAUCUAAGUUAUCUAACCAUGAAACUCGACAUCGAGGCCUUAAGGUCAUAUCUCUACUUUAACUUCAUAUUGAUCAAUAUCUGCUUACAGGUUAGUCACGAUGAGCAUCUGAUAUCGGGAAGUGUCGAGGAGCUGUGGGCAGUGUCUGAAGGUAAAGUAAAUCCAUUCCGUGGCACAUUCCAAGAUUACAAGAAGAUAUUGCAGUCUUCUUAGAGAAACUUUACUGUGGGUUUUAAAAUGAAUUGGGUUUGAUAUGGUUGUGAGGUAGUUUUAAUAUAAUACUAUGUGCGCUUGAAGCUUUUCAACAGUUUUGGAAUUUUAUACAUGUAUACCACAAACAGGCAUGGAAUUUUCCAGGAUAAAAAUGCCAUGUUGAAAGUGUAACUGAACUUUAUUAGUCUUUGUUAUAUUCAUUCGCCUCUGAUCGGGGUGUAAUAAGGAUUUGAUUUCUGGUUCAAGUAAAAAGGUGUAUGAAUGUUCGUUAAGUUAGGUUCACUUUGACUAAAAUAUAGGAAAUUUGGUAUUUCAUUUGAAUUAUCCUCCUGAGAACGAUCCAACUUAUCCUUGUUUCUUUCUAAAUUUUUUGUUUUUAUAAUUGAUUUUUGAAGUCCCGAAGUAGCUUGGAGCUCAAGCCCUUGCAUCACGAAUGCAUGGGAAAGUAAAUUGAGAGAUUCGAUUUUGACUUAUGUCUUUUAUUUUUAAUAAUAGUUAUGAAGAUGUUUUAAUUUCAAAUUCAAACUAUGGGACACCAGAAAGUAGAAAAUAGGCGAUUAAUAUGAAUUAUACAAUUCUUUUUGUUAUGAAUUUGGCAAAGAAUUUACUUGGUUUGUUCGUUGUAAAAUGACCUUUAACUCACUUUUAUUACCUUUUCCUAUAAAUCUUGCAUUUGUAUUUAUGUUUAAUAUAACAUCAAGUCUGGUACAAACUAUUUCGUUUUGUAUUCUUUGCAUUGUAAAUCUUACUACUUUGUGAGGUUUUUUUUCUUCCCCUUUUUAUCUAUUUCUAAAGUUUUGGGAAAAAAAAUUCUGUAAAGUUAUAAAUUUAGUCCAUAAAAUUUAGAAAAAUUAGGAUAGUAUUAGCAAUAAAAAUUUUAAAAAUAUAUAGUAGAACAACUAAACUUUAAAAAAUACGGAUUUUUAGACAUGAGAUCGAAAGUUGGAUGAAAAAAUAAAAAACUUUGUUAACUACAUUCAACUUUUAAACAAUUUGUUUUAGUCUUUUUUUUAAGAAUUUAACGAAGAUUAAAAAUAUUUUUUGGAAGAAAUCUAACAACACAAAAUUUGUAAGAAAGAAUACAAUUUUUAUCCAAAAGUUUAAUUUUUUUCUCUUACUACUAUUUUUUCUGUGUGUUAUUAAUAAUCACAAUGGUUUCUAUUACUCACUGACUCCAUAAACCCAUAGAAUUUGAAAAUGUCUUCUCCUUUUUUAGUUGAAAGUUUAAAACUUUAAAGAAAAAUCAAAUCUAAAACUCCAAAGAGUUAGGAAGUGGAGGGAACCGGAAGCGAAGUAUAUAUUUGAUUUUAGACAUGAAAGUUCCCAUUUUUGCUAAUUGUGGCGGGAGAAUGGCGUAACCCGUUUCCAUCUACUCUUCCUCUCUCUCCUCUCUCGUAUCAAGGAGGAAAAAAAACCCCGCUCUCUCAAUCGAUUCUUCUUGUGUUGUGCUUCAAUUUGAUCGCCAUAGAGUCUCUCAACUCCCAAUGAGGUACUUUUUCUUCUAUACAAGUUUGAUGGGUCGCACCUUUUUGUUCUAGGGCAUCGUCCAUCGCUGUUUUUGAGACUUUUCGUUGAAGGGUUUCGAGUGUAACUUCUGUUUUUUGGUUGUUUGGUCUUCAGAUUUGGAUUCUGAGAACUGGGUUUUUAUAUCGGAAGUGGAGUGCUGUUGAAGGUUACUGCAGGGUUUGAUUUGUAAUGGCGGAAGUUUUUGAUGACGAAACGGAACAGACGAUUUCUAUUCAGGAGUAUCUGAAGGAAGUUGAGGAACAGGAGCUGGUAAUUCUCUCUUUCCCUCUUUGGAUUAGGGUGUCUGAUUAUUGGUUGGCUUUCCAAAAUUUUAGCGAUAUAAUGGCCUGCUAACGUACUGGGUUUUCUAUAAUUAGGGUUCAUGGUUCGUCCUUGGCCGCAAAACUUAUCGAAAUUCUUCAAACCAAUUUGAGCGUUCUGAUUUAUUGUUAGUUUCAUAAUCAGAAGUCAGAACACGUGUACUUUUUGGUGUUCUAAAGUUUGCAAUUAUCGAAGGUCAUUCUGGCUUUCUAUAGAGAAUAUGAUACAUCUUUAAUGUCUUCUUUUCUUGCUUCUGUUUCUUUUUUUUGGAUGCAUGGUAUCUGAUUAUUUACUAUUAUUAUUAUAUUGUUAAUCAAGGAAGCGGAUUUAGUUUUGGGAGGUGAUGAGGGAAAGGAAUGUACUUACAACAAGGGUUACAUGAAGAGACAAGCCAUUUUCUCAUGUCUAACUUGUACCCCUGAUGGAAAUGCUGGAGUUUGCACAGCCUGCAGUUUGUCAUGUCAUGAUGGACACGAGGUAUACAUGUCAUACGAAAGAACUCUAUUUAGAGUAUCCAGCUAUUUAUGUUUAUUUUGUCCUGUCCUUUGUAUUGUGCCGAGCUAUUCAGUUCGUGGCUUGGAUUGCUUUUGAGCAGUAUUAUCCGUAGGAUAUAAAAUUUAGCUUAUUGAUUUAUGGACAUACCGUUUACUUAUUGAUUGUUGGUAUUGUCGAGUUGCAUGAAUGAUUGUUGAUAAUUUCUCUCAAAUCUUUUUUCAUUCCAAUAACGUUAAACUCUCCAAGUACUUUGCUUUCUAAUAUCUGCACUAUCUGAUUAUGAUCAUUGUUCUCUUGGGUAAGAUUGUGGAAUUAUGGACCAAGAGGAACUUCAGGUGCGACUGUGGAAAUUCAAAAUUCGGAAAUUUCGUCUGCAAGCUGUUCUCAAACAAAGAUGUAGAAAAUUCCAACAAUUCGUACAAUCAUAAUUUUAAAGGAUCAUACUGCAUAUGCAAUCGCCCUUACCCUGAUCCAGAUGUCGAAGAGCAGGUGGAGAUGAUUCAGUGUUGUAUGUGCGAGGAUUGGUUUCAUGAGGAACAUCUCGGUCUCAGUUCCAUAGAUGAGGUGUGAGCACACAAGCCCUUCACGCGUUUUCAAUAAUAUUUCUGUUUCUCCAUUUUUGUCGUUAUACAAUGUUAUGUUGCUUAUCAUUAAAAGUGACUUGAGAUUUAGUGAAUCUUGCAAUUUCAUGGAUAACUAAACAAAGUUCGCAAACAUUAACCUCUUAAAUUUUAAGUGAGUAAAAUUUUAUCUUCACGAGAGAAUUACCUUGCCUUUUUUCUAAGAUGAUGGAACUUUCUCACUACAAAUUUAAGCAUGCCACUUGUAAAUGGUUAUUGAACUUGCAUCAUAUGCACUUGUUUGUUCUGCAGAUUCCCAGAGAUGAAGAAGGGGAGCCCCUAUACGAGGACUUCAUAUGCAAAGCGUGCUCUGCAGUUUGUUCUUUUCUGAGUCAAUAUCCUUCAUCUAUUUGGGCUGUGGGAAGGCAGUCUGAUACCUCUAUGGACGUUAGCAACAAAAUUGAUGCUUCAGAGCUUCCAGCUAGUACAUCUGUAAAGCACAAUGAUGAUGUUAAUCUUCAUGAUUCUGCCAAUGCGGAUCCUACAGUAGAUACUGACAAAUCUGCUGGCAAGGAUAGCUUGCUCAGUGAACUUCCUGAAAAUCCUAGUUCUAGCGAACCAAUUAAAGAUAACAAUCAAACUGAUAGUUGUGUGCUUGGAACUUCUUUGUCGGCUUCUAUAAUUGUUGAAAACAAGCCAAUGUUUCUUUCAAAGAAUUGGAGGGGUGCCUUGUGCAGAUGUGAAAAGUGCAUCAACAAUUACAAGUUGAAUAAUAUUAGUUUCCUGCUAGAUGAAGAGGACUCUAUUGCUGAGUAUGAAAAAAUGGCAAAACAGAAGAGGGAAGAGAAGUUAUUGCAACAAGAAGGUGCUGAGUCAAAGUUGUUUGAUAACCUUGGGCAUGUGGAGAAAAUUGAGAUUCUGAAUGGCAUUGCAGAUAUGAAGGAUGAGAUUCGUACCUUCCUGGUAUUUUCAUGCCAUUACAUGUUUGUUUGUUCUUUUUCGUAUUUUGCUUGGUUUAUAUGUUCUUGUUCUUCUCUGCAGGAAUCAUUCGACUCGUCGAAGCCUAUUACAUCUGCAGAUAUUCACCAGGUUUUUGAGAAUCUAGCUAAAAAGAGACGCCGUACUGAAUGAAAGUAUUCUCUUAGAAGCUUCAAUAUAUUUCAGUAUCUAUAAAAGGAGUAGCCUUCCGUUGGUCUUGGAGUUCUCAAGUAAGCUGUCCUGACUGCUUGAAUAUAUGUAUUUGGGGCGGUUUCUUUCAGAAUUCUGUUAUGGUAAAACCGUUAACUAUGAAACUUAAGUUUCUUUGAGAUCUAGAUUAUGCUUUCAGAAAUGACUUGUUUUUGAAACCUUGUUAAACUACCGGAGGUGCCAACCCCUGUGGUUUAAGCUGUAAAUUUAACUUAGUUCCAGACUUGUUUCUAAUAUAUGAUGUUAGACCUGUUUCUGAUAUGUUGUGCCCCUCACCCUCUCACAUGUGAUCUCUUCUCUUAGCUAAAUUUGAUUGAACAAUACUUAAGUGCUGCGUCCAUUUUCAUGUAUCUGGUUUUAACUUUUGAUUGGAUUACUUGGGUGGGUUGUACAAAGAUGAAAGAUAAAAGCAUUUCAAGGAGUCAGACGGAGACGAGGAUGACUUCUCUGUCUACACCCACCCAAUCUUUCCUAUCCUAGCCAACAAAAAGAAAAGAAAGAAAAAAGAAAUACCAAACUUUGUUCUCUGAAUUAGGAUUCCUUGUGGGGAGUUUUUUUCCAACCUACUAAAUAUUUUUGUAAAAAAAAUGCUUGUAUAACUUUUCCUUAGAAAAUCUUCAUAUACUCCAUUUAUAUGAAGAAAUUUUCAAACAUUAGACAUUUUUUUUAACUUGACGUUUUUUUAUAAUAAUUAUUUAAUUGUUAAAAAUAUUUACAAAAUAUAAUAAAAUUGUAGAUUCAACAUUGAUAAACAUUCUAGACUUCUAUAAGUAUCUAUAAGAGUUUUACAUUUUUACUUGGAUAAUUUGCCGUUUGGUUCAAUAUUAAUUGAAGAGUUUUAUUAUCUUGUUAUUUGCAAUAAAACACUUAUAUUUCUCACAUUCUCGUUAGUAUCAAAUUCUUUUAAUUACUUAUCUAUAAUUAUUAUCAACCUAACUCAACUCAACCAAUAGUAUCAAAUUCUUCUAAUUACUUAUCUAUAAUUAUUAUCAACUUAACUCAACUCAACCAAUUCAAUCAAUUGUUUCCCUAAGUGUGUUGGUAGAAAUUGGUAGAAUUAGAAAUUGGUAGAAUUUUGAAUAUAAAAGUAUUAGUGUAAUGCAAGUAAACCCAAAUGCAACGAUAUUGCGUAAUCAGAUGGAUAUUGUUGUUUAAGAAGAGGGGCAUUGCAUAUUAAAUGUGCAAACAAAAGAAAUGUCUUAGUUUCAAUUAGAAACUAAUUUUUAUUUUUUCGAAAAGCAAAUAUAUGUGUAUAUACUUAAAAUUAUAUAUGUUUAGUUAUUUUGGUCCGUGGAGGAAACAUCCCUCGAAAAUGCCUUUUCUUUUUCUGUCUUUUUCUUUUCUUUAGAAUAUAAAGACUUUGGUUUUCUAGAAAGCCAUUAAAUAUUGCGUUAGUGUUGAUCUAAACAAUUUUAUAAUUCUGUCGAGUGAUAUGCCUAAUAUGUUUAUUUGUAUUUUGCUUCCCAACAAUACUUUUUCUUUUGGCAAAAGAGAAGAGCACUUAAUCCCUUUAUUCCAAAUAAAAUUUUGAUAAAAUAAUACAAAUAAAUAGACUUGGUUAUUUGUCUUAGAUAAACACAAUUUUGAUCUCUGGAUCACCAACAAUUUUGUUUAGAACAAUUCAUACACACAAUCCAUGUUUUGUGUGGUGUGUGUUAUUUUUAGUUGUUUCCUUCAAGUAUAAGAACACGAUGAACAAAAAUGUAGAGAAUUGGAUGGAGCAGCUAGAAGCUCAUUCAACUAUCAUACUUCUCAUUGUUCCAUUCAAGAAUUCUCAUAUAAACCCAUGGAAAGUCAUACUAAUGCAUGAUUAAUUUUUAAAUUGUUAAAAAUCACUCUAGAAACCAAUAAAUUUUCAUAUUAUCAAAAUUAGUAUUACAUGUUCUUGAGUGAUUUUAAACCCAACAAAAGUAAUUUAAUAACCUUAAAACCAUAUCCAAAUAGUAACAUCCAGAAAUUUUGUUGACAGAGGCUUUAUAAUUUUGUAAAAAUGAUCUAAGAAAAAAAAUAUUAAAAGUGAAAAUGCGGAACUGAAUUGAGUCUAGAGGGAGCUAGAUGAUUGUUUUACUACUAGGAUAGCUAAUAAUAAUAGUAUUAUAUCAGUAAGAGCAUAAAAUUGGGAGGAUGGAUCCUAUACUAAAUCCAUUGUGCAACCAAACCUCUGAUCUUUGACUCUAGUUCACGUUCAUGUUGACAUUUGCAACAUCUUCGUUAGCCUUAUAAAAAAGGUUACGAGCUAAGCCAAACCCUACUAUGACUAUACAAUUCCUUAUCUUCAAACCACAGCUGCUUAAUCAACAAGAUUAAAAUCAGAAGUUCUCCAUAAUAUUUCUUAUACAUAACCUCUGAUUUUCAGGACAUCCAAUUUAUUUUGAUUCCUUGUCAAUAAUGACCUCCAGAGCUUGGAAAGGUCUUAAGACAAGACAAAGCAGAUGAAAGGAAAAUUCAAUUCUAAGGGAUGCAGGAGAUGAAAGUCCUCCAACAGUGAAGGAAAAUUCAAUUCUACAUUCAGAAAUCGACUGACCUAAUCAAUAAAUCUGCGUUCUUCUUGGACUUCAUUAUGAGCUCAGCAUUGGGUCGGUCAUUGUACUCAAUCUGUUGUAUGUUUGAAUGUUAGUUUAGGGAUAUGCUAUCAAGGAACAAUAAAAUGUAAACAGAGUGAAAAUAAAUCAAAGAAUGAGGAACUUACGCGCCAUUUGGCAACGUCAGGAGGUUUUCCUAAUUGAGUUCGAUCAUGCAGGAAAGAGUAGCAUAGAAUGUUAAUCAACAAAUAAGGUUAUUUCUUGGUUGAAUUAUCAAAAUACCCCUAAUUUAUGGAGCUUGUUUCAAUUUAACCUUUGAGUUUUGAAGUUUGUUUCAAAACAACUAUAGAUUGUUGCAGUUAAAUUCACAGAUGAAAAAUGUUUGUAUUGAUUUAUGUGAACAAAUCUAAACAAAUACAUGAAAGAGAAUAAAGUUACAUGACGCACCUAAACCAUACCUCUUGUCCCCUCUUCCCCCCUAUGUAGCCAAUUUUGUUUUGUUUUGUUUUUUUUAUUUUUUUCACUAAUCCCAACCCCAAAUUAGUUUACUGUCUAGAUUCGUACGCUUAAUCAACACAAACAGACACAAAUUUUCCGUCCACAAAUUUAAUGGCAAAAGACUUCAAAAGUCUUUUUUGGAUAAAAAGAAAGAAAAAUAAACCCUUUAAGCUUCAAAGGUUAAAUGUAAUUUUUAAAACUGCAACAAUAAUUGAAACACGGACACUGACCAACUCAAUAUUUUUCAUAUUUAAAAAAUGCGUCCACUCGGAUAUCAUCAUACCUGUUGAAAUAUGUCUUUUGAGAACUCGUUCCAUCGAUUUGUCGAUAUCUAUUUCUACGAACCUGGGCAAUCAAUACAAUCAUAUAAAUCACCAAUAAGAACGAAAAAGAGAAUCUUUGUGCAAAUGGAACACAAACUUGCAUUCUCUGCUUAUCUUUCAAAUUAAUAUGAGUGAAAUAUCAAGGUUAUCUUCCAAGCUUGCAAGCCUCAAGGUAAUGUAUACUUACCAUUUCUCAUCGAAUAUUGAUGAGAUUUCUUUCCAAACCCCAUCGUCGAGUAAUAAAUAAUUUCCUUCUACUAUAACAACCUUGUGCCUGAAAGUAAAAGAAUAUACUUUGUAAUAAAAUGAAAUAAAACCAUUUUCAGAACCAGUUUGUAGGGGUGACAUUCAAUCUCAAAAUAAAAAAUAGAUUGAUUUUCCAACCAACUCGUUGUUGGUGUAGACAAAGAAGGAUCGAAGCAGAAAACCCCAUGCAUAUUUUUUAGAAAACACUUUCACAUUAUUUUGAAGAAAUCAGAUAGAUCAAAUCUUGAUAUUCUAAACUUCAUCCUUCAGGCAGCCAAUUGAUACACUUUUUCAACAGAGUUCAACAGAUUAGUUAAGACUGGUAUCAGCUUUCCCUCUCUGGAUUUUGUAAUUUAUUGACUUUUAAUAGUAUUUUCUAGUUUAUGUUGGGUCAAACAAGUGUACCCAAAAAAAGCAUUCCGUUGGUUAUAAUAAUGUUUGUAAGGGAAAUGUCUGUAGUCUGCCAAAUUAUUUGCAUAGAUUGACUAUACAGUAGUGCCCCGGUAAAAAGAAACAAGAAAUCACUUACUGAAGGCCCACGAAGAUGUCAUCCUCAACUGGAUCACCGACACCAUGAUCAAAUGAUGGUGCAUAUACUGAUCCCUGGAGAAGCCAUCAUUUAAAAUCGAACUUAAAGAAAGCAAUUGAAGAUAAACACAUCUUACUUAAGCACGGCAGCUCAAACAGGAUAGAAAAUAGGGAUAGCAAAAGCAAGAUGUUUUUGACAUAGAGAAGUUGUUCGUUACAGUUGCAACUCUACAAUUUACAGCACCAACAUACAAUAUUCUUCCAUCCUCGGUAAGUAAAUUACCUGACUUCUUAGUGUCUUGAGGCAUGUAAGUAGCAGCUGAGGAUUGAAUGUCCAAGGAGCUGAUUCAUCAAUUAGAAAUCAACCCUCCUGGUGCUUGCAAGGAAUAAAAUCAACAAUUAAAAUAACUUGAGAUCUCACCUCCCCGUCUUGCAUGCGCUUCCUCCGGAUUCUAUUGACAUGAGAACACAGGGGUUGCAGUUAGAAGUACGAAAAGGCAACAUACAUGACAUACAAGACUUACAGGAAGAGAGAUGCUUUGAAUUAACAUGGUAAAAGAUGGCUGGACUGCCGGCAGUAAGCAAGAUUUUAGCAAAAUUAUAUUCCACGUACUUAAUAUCUCAAGAAAAUGAAACUGAAUUUAAAACAACUAAAUCUCCACAUGUACUCUAUCAUCCUAUAAGUUAUAAAAAAAUUCUGAUGGUUUGCGUGUCAUGUGAAAAUUGUUCAAACAAAAGAGGCAGGGUGACUCUGGGAAAAUCGACUUACAACUCACCUCCAUUGAAUCAAGCUGAGAACGAUAAAGAUGGAAACCAUCCAUAGGGAGAACAGCAGCAACAUCAGCAGGAUUUACUUGAGAAUCCAUUGAAGAAGCUUUCUGGGGCCAUAACUUAUUUAAACGUUGGACCACUUCAGAUGCUAUAGUGGUUUUGCCAGCACCAGGGGGACCAGCCAAACCUACAAUAUAUCUGCACGAUCAGGUAAAUACAAACAAUAAAAAAGUGAAUAUUAAGUAUUCACACACUCAAAUAUAGUAAUAAAAUUGAAAGAGGGGAAACAAGGAGGCUACCGGGAAUUCUGAAAUUUAUAAGAAAAUAAGCUGACUUUAUUCACACACUCAAAUAUAAACAGAUUUAUCUUAGUUCCAAGUAUAAUAAUGCAUUUUUAAUUAAGGCUUAUACAACGUAAAGUCAGUUCGGUUGCUGUUUGUUCCAUCUGACAAGACCUCCAGAGUCAUUCAUGUUUGAGUCCACAAUGUUAGAUCAAAUUUGAAGCCAAAUAAUCAUCUCAGUUAAAGAUGAUUCACCCUCUUAUAAGAAUUUGUAAUACUCGUAUAUAGUGGGACACACAUCCCUAAUUCUUGACUGAAAUAUGGAAUUACAUGUGCUUUCACACAGCAUGAAGGGCUUUGGUGCCCUCCCUGCGGUGAUCAAGAGUCAAUAGAAUAGAAACGAGUGAAUAGCCAAGAUGAAAAAUCAAAUGUCUUAUUGGAGAUUCAAGGGUUUUUCCAUUUUUCUUUCGUUUCUUUCUUUUCUCCUUUUUUCUAGAAGAUACCAAAUUUCAUUGGAAAAAAAGAAAAAAUACAAGGGGUAACGAGUCCCAAACAAAAAUCUGAAAAAGGCACCAUCUUUGCAAGAACAGAUAAUUAUCAUUAAAAUUCUACUGAGUAGAUUUUGUCCGUCUAUUAAAAUAAUGGUCCUGGUUUAAGUAAUAAGAUUCAACGUUUCUAAUGGGGCAAUAGCAAUACGAUUAAAUUAACAAUACAGAAUGGAUAGCAGAUGCUACUUAGUUCACAACAAUUUUGUAGAACUUUUUUUUUUUUGGUUAAAAAAGUAUUUAUUAUCUGUGUCCUCCCCCAAUCCCCAUUUUUUACAGCCUUGGAAGGUGUACUUACUUAAGAUCAGGAUCUGAAGCUGCUGCUGCUGUUGGAAGAAGACGUCUUGCUAGAUCAUCAUAUAUGUCAUCUAUACACCUUGAGAGAUAAUAAAAAGAACGUAAAAAAUGAAUACAAGAAAAUUGGAAAGAGAAAAAUUAUUAGUUAUUUAUAUGGAUAGAGAAGCAAAUAUAUAACUAUGUUUAAAAUGCUGAAACCAUUCUUUGAAACUGUAGAGCUCAUUUUGCAUAAUGCAGCAGCUCUUACUCCCAACAGGGGGGUACAAAAUUCUCAUUAAGAAAUGGAGAAAUAAAAAUAGAAAACAGCAUCACGAUUUGAGCAAUACUUGUGAGUUGUGAAAGGGAUGCUACCAAACAAUUUGAUUAGUAUUCCUACUUAUCUUCUGCCCAUGGUCUGUUAGUCGAUUAAUGUUUGCAGUAUUCUGAAAUUCAUAGUUAUUAAGACAGCACAAUAUCAUGCAAUCUAUAUCUAAGAAGUAAAAUGCAUGAUUCUUCCUCUACAACGCACAAAAAUAUUCUUUAUCUUAUAAUUUAUAAAAUUUAAUUGCUUAACAAGACUUAGCACUCAACUGAUUGAAGAUUUUUAAGUUAAUGAAAGCAGUCCCCUCAAGCUUGAAAAUUAAAUGUCAACAAGAGCUUAACUCAAUUGACACCUGUAUACACUUGAGGACAAUAGGUCCCGAUUCAAAUCCACCACUCCAAUUUGUACUAAAAAAGAAGUCUGUAAAUUAAAUAUCUAUUCUUAGUAUAAAAAAAAAUCUACCAAGGUUAGGUUGGAAAUAACCAAAAUAUUAGCGAGGGUUGUCCCUAACAAUUGGUAUCAAAGCUAUGCUCUUCAUUUCGAUGUCUGUAGAGUCCUCAAGUGUUGAACAAAGAAGUGGUUAGCCUCGAAAAAAAAAAUUGUUGUGAUCUGUGGUUAGGUGAUCUGUUCCGAUGAAGAGGAGUUGACCUAGAUAAAGAGUUAGAUAGAUAUAUGACAAUUCAAGGUCCUUUGUUAGAGGAGAUGAUUGUUGGAUAUUCGACCAAACCCAUCCAUUGGCUAGAUAAAGAGUAGAUCACGGUAUAAUAGUGAAGGAAAUAUUUCCAUUACUAUGAGGUCUUUGGGUGAAAUUAAAAAGUAAAAUCAAGCAGACUCUCCCAAAGUGGACAAAAUUAUACGAAUGUGGAGAUAGUCCUUGUCCCCAUCAGAGUCCUAUAUUUUCUUUUGCAGUUUCCAAACCAUGGAAUCAGUUGAAAUACAAAUAUGGCCAUUUAAGAUAGUUUGUUAGCGUACCUGCCCUCUACAACAGAAAAUUCUCUCUUUUGGCUGCAAAAGACCUGGAAAAGGGAAAGAUUCAACAGUGACAUUUCAGAGUUCAUAUAAAAAGAAUCGAAAGCAAUUAUUGAGGCCGUGAGAUAGAAAGAAAGAGAACUUACAGUCACACACUUAUUCUUCCUACAGAAACCAUUAGUCUGACCACAGUGCAGUGAUCGAUACUUAUAGGCUGAAUUGAAUGACAGAAAGUUAUGAUCUCUUGGUACAGGUUUUUCCUUCACGAAAGAAACCAAUUCUGCAGAUAAAUUUAUUCCUGAAAUGAAAAACAUAACAAGACGUUUCAGUUGACUAACUGUUGAAAAUGAUAAUGUGCACAAAUCCUCUAUGCAGUAACACAAUUACAUCAACAAUCGACUUGAGGAUAAAUGCAAUCGAGAGCAAAUUGAAGCUCCUCUACUCUAAUAACUUUAACAUAAUUAGUUUUCUCAAUAUUCAAUAAUUCGAGACAAUAUUCAUGAACUGUAUGAUCGGAGGAAAGUAACCUGGUGAAGAACUAGAAGAACAGAGAUGCAAUAUGAAAAGAAGUAAAAUGAUUACAGUCUACAUACCUUUUGCGGCAGCUAGAGAAAAUGAAGCUUCCAUGGCGGAAUUAUGAAGAAAAGGAGAAUGUUGAGUUCAAGAAAAUAAUUUAAAUGGAAACUAGAAACUCCAUGGAAACUGAUUAAUCCAAGAGAGACUCAAGAGCUCCAAGCAUCAUCAACCAUAUCCAUGAUUCUCACUGCCUUUCACGGCGUUCUGAAUUGAAGACAGAGAUGACGGUCGGCUCAACCGAACCACCAAAUUGCGAACCGGUUGACUCCGUCGAAAAAGGUAGUGUGCCACGUUACGCUCAACCCAAAUAUCGCAUAAUCUGAUAUUUUGAAUCUAAUUGUUAAAUCAAUUUAGAUUUUAACGGGCCUCAUUCAUGGGCUUAUCGUCUGUCCUUCGACUUUGUUAGUAGGCCCAUUGAGUUUACAUCCACAAUAAUGAACCUAAAAUUGCUUUCUUUAAAAUUACGCUUUUAGAUUCUAGUUAUGAGGAUAGAUAACUUCUUUUAAAAAAACCAAAUUUAUUAUUUAAAGUUAGAUAAAAUAACUUAAAAUUAUAAAACACUUACUCCAAGAACCAAACUUUUUGUCAAAACCAAUAAAUAAAAAUGCUCAUCAUGAAAAUCUAUAUCAAGAAUAUCUAUUAUUAUCUUGAUAGUUAGAAACGUAAAUCUUCUUUUCUUAUUCUUAAUCUAUUUUAAUUGGAGCAUCUUAGCAUUUAUAAAAUAUAGUAAAAAAAUUAUAAAUUUUAUUAUAUUUCAUAAUAGAUUAGUGAUAUUAGUAACAAAACUUAGAAAAACAUAAUUCAAACUUAACUUAAAUACUAAACUAGUUAUUUUGAAUAAAUAUUUCAUAAUAGAUUCACCCUAGUUUGACCAAUCACAUUGACAACUAUUUGAUCUUAUCAUAUUUAAUUUUUUAUAUUUUAGGUAAGAGACCACUCAUAAUUUAAAUCUAUGUCUUAAAAAAAGAAAACUCUUUUUUAAAAACUAAGGCCACAUGUUAGUAGGUCCUAUGUUUUGAUCAAAACCCCAAAAAUCAAGGUUUUUUUUUCCCUCCAAUUAUUAAAAAUAAAAUUUCUAAAAAAUUAAUCCCACCCACAUGAAAAACUGCCACCAACCUACCCCACAUCCCCCCCAAAGUCCAAAGAUACAAUACGCCGUCGUUUUCCUAUUCUAUACAUUAAACAAAAGCAUGGGUCUUUCAAAUAAUUGGAUUGAAAAAAAAAACUAUAGCAAUUUGCGUAAUUUUAAUUAUUUUAUUAAAAAAGAAAAAGAACCUUUUUUUUCUUUUUCUUUUCUUGCUUUAAAUCUGACCCAAGAAUCAUAGUAUCAUGAUGAUUAAAUGAUCUUACACACAGCCAAAUCCUCCAAUACUUUUGAUGGGUCCAAUGAUUUAAUGAAAGUUUAAAGAGAGCACUUAACUUGGCUCAUAUGUGACAACCAGAAUUAAAUUGAAAAAAUAUAUAUAUUAUAUUAUACACAUGAGAAGUAAAGUUCAACUAUUUGAUUAUAUAUAAUAUAUAUAUCCAUGACCAUAUUCUAAAAAAGAAAAAAUAAAAAAUAAAACUAUAUAUAUAUAUUCCUUCCCCCCCCACUACCUAGCUAGCUUCUUGCUUUUUGUCUACCUACCAUCUAUUAAUAUAUUUUUAUAAUUGAUUUUUGGACUAAGAUUCUCUCUCUCCAAACAAAACAAGCAAUUUCUUUUUCUUUCUUUUUUUUUCUCUCUUUCUUUUGGAGUUAUUAAAUUAUUCCAAUGCAUUGUUUGGAUCGAAAAGAAGCUUUGAGUUUGCGUUGACCAUGAUCUCGGAGGCGGACCACAGACGGGCGGCCUCCGACGGGCUGCCAGCCAGCUUGGACGGUGACGAUUCGUUGCAGUCGACGAAAUACUUGCCGGUGACGUGGCGUAGCCUCGGAUUUGUCGCCACGUAGCAUGUCGUUGCCGCCGCCUGUGGAAGGAAGGAAAAUCAGAAAUGGCCUUUGUGUCAGUUCUUUUACUAUAUAGCCUUUUCUUCUUUCUUUCCUCGGGAAAUUACAAACAGAAAAUGUAAACUAAUAAUCACAGUAAAUAAAAAAAAUGGAAGUUUGGGUUGUAUGUAUACCUGAGGUAUUGUCUUCAAGAGCUUGGAAGCCAUGAAGAACACCAAAUCUGCAAUACAUGGUUUUAAAAACAAUAGAUUAAAAUUUAAAUGUACUAUGUAGCGUAUUCAUUAAAAGAAAGAAAAAAAAAGAAAGUUCAUAUACCUGUGAUGAAGCCUUCACGAUCUCUAGUAAGUCGAGUUCUGACGAUUCCGGGAUGGACGCAGUUCACCGUAACAUUAGCUCCCAUUUGCUAAAUCAAAUAAAAUAAAUAUUUGAUUAAAAAAAAGUUUAGAUUAAGAAGAAAAAGAAAAGGAGAGAGUUAAUAUAAUAAUAUGAAGAUUAAAGAACCUUGAAUCGGCGAGCAAGUUCGUGGGUAUGAAGAACGUUGGCAAGUUUAGAGAGCGCGUAAGCACGUGUCGCAUCGUAAUUCCUGCUGGGAAUCCCACCCACAUUAACUGUAUUAGAUCAUUUAAUUAUACAUUACUUCUCAUAAAGUCAAAUCUCAUCCUCUCUUUUAUUACUCUAUUUUAUACAAAAACAUUCAUUUAGUUUUUUUUUUCUUUAAGAUUAUUAUGAUCAUUUGUGAUUAAAGAGUUUGGUUGAUUGUAAUAAAUAUAUGGAGUGAAUUUUUUAAAAAAUUAAUUAAAAAACUUUGUCCAUGAAUUGUAAUAAAGUGACCAUUUUAUUACAAUUUUUAAAGAUCAAAAUAAUCACUUUUAAAUGGUUCAAAUUUCAUAAAGAAACUAAAUACUUUAUUUCAAAUGAUUUCUUUUAAAUACAGCAUAAAUUUAUUUAAGUUGUUUUACAUGUGAAAAUAGUUUUUCUUUUAUUCAUAAUAAUACCUCCAAAGAAAAUCCACUAAAAUAAUCAAUCAUUUAUUUACUAUUUUAACUAAGAAAGAACCAAAUAGUAACUUUUGCGACUAUAGUAACUGAAGGAAAAAUAGUUAUUGUUUUCUUAGUUAAAAAAAGUACAAAGAUAAAACCUUCACCCUCUAGAAAAUCGUUUUGGAAAUAUAUGGAAUGAAAAUGAACUUUUGUUUUUAAAAAUAAGAUCAGUACAAAAAGAAUAAAAAAUAAAAAAGCUUUCAAUAUUAAAUACAUACCUUUUAUUCCGGCUAAUCUGGCCGAGAUAUUUGAGGAUAUCGCCGGAAAACCAGCCAUGAAUACUCGACGAAACGUUCACAAUCCGGCCCUCAACCCCUGUCACUUUCGCCGUCUCCACCAUCUUAUUCACCAACAGUUUCGUCAACAGAAAAUGCCCUGAAAUUAUUUCAUUACGUUAAUCAAUAUAUCCCCUUUUUCUCCCUAUAAAAAUCUCAUAAAUAAAUUAUCAUCAUUCAAACAAAAAAAAAAAGUUACCCAAAUAAUUAGUAGCGAAUGUCAUCUCUAUCCCAUCCUCCGUUAUUGCAUGCUCGUGCGAGAAUUUCCCCGCAUUGUUACUAAAACCCAAACAAAAAAAGAAAAAAGAGUUCAAUACCAUAGAGAUCGACCAAAUUAGCAAUUUUUUUGCAAAAAAAAACGAAGGUGUGAUUAGGGAAUUUACAUGAGGAGAUUAAGCGGGAGAUUAAGGGAUUCAAAUUGAGAAACAAAGGUUCUAACAGAAGACAAAGAGCUCAAAUCGAGUGACAUAACAAUAAUCUCGGAAUCAGAGCAUUCCGACUCAAUCCGAGCCUUGGUUUCUUCAGCGGCUUUAAUGUUCCGCGACGGGAGGAUUAAACGAGCCCCACGUUUUGCAAGAAUCCGAGCCGUCUCAGCUCCAAUCCCUGAUGUGGCACCUGAAGUAAAAAAGAUGGUUAAAAAUCCCUUUUAUUCAUGAUAACGAAAGAAGUUAAAGUUGAAGUUAGUUACGUUACCGGUGAUGAUGGCGGUGAAGGAAGGAGGGAGGGAGGCGGUGACGUGUUCGGCGGUAGAUUUGGAGCCGAAGCCGGAGGGGCCGGGGGAGCCGGAGAGGUAGUUGAAGGAGAGAAGCAUGUUAUUGUUUUCCUUUUGUUUCUUCAAUGGAGGGGAUAUCGAUCGAUGUCAGAAAUGGCAGGUCACGCCGUUGUUCAUCUGUCAAUUUUGAGCUAAGAGAAGGGGGGUUGGGUUUGGGUUCGGACUGUAAUUUAUAAGGCAGGAUGAGAGAGAAUGAAAUAGGUGGAUAACAUAUUUGUCAUUUUAGUAUGAGAGACUGUGAGGGAGAGGGAUUUGUUUAAUUUAUAUAUAGGGUAAUUGGGAGCUUCCAUUUAUUUAUUUAUGUACUUUUCUUUCUUUCUAUAAUGUAAUUAUGAUUUUUUUUUAGAUUGGAUUGUUGAUCUCUCCCUUAUCGUUUUCUUUUCCACUUUAUUGUCAAAAAAAAAAAAAAAUCAUUAAAAAAAAAUGUUAAUAGAAUUCACAUCAUUCCUAAACAUCUAUGGAAUAUUGUUAAAUAAAUAGUUUUCUUUUUAUUGUUGAAAACUGUACACUUAAUUUAUCAUGUAAUUUGACAACUUAGUGAAGAUGAUGGUGCAAGAUGUAUUUAAGCUAAAUUUGAUGGAUUUAUUUAUAAUUUUGUGUUUUAGAAAACUUUAAAGGAUAAUAAUUUCAAUGCAACAUUUUCGAUUAUCCUUCGUAUGAAAGGGACUAGGUUAAUAUUACUAUGUAUAGAAUUUUGUAAAUAAUAACAAAAAAGAGUUUUUUUUUCUUUUUUCUUUAACAACAUUUUUCUUUUAACAUAAAAAAGGUCAGAAAAAGGAAAAUAUAUCGUCCAAAAAUAUUAAUUUUAAAAUAGAUAUAUUAUUUAGAAAAAAGAAAAAGAUCACGCCACAUAUCAAAUCAUUUAACAUAUUACACAGUAGACUAUAUAAACAAUACCUAACUUUAUAAUUCAGACUUAGAAUUAGAACUUUAAAGGUUUUAUAAAAUAAACAAAUUUGAAGAAAUUACUUUAUGUUAUGAACACUUGAAUCUACUUUAAUAUUUGAAAAAAAAAAACAUUACUUUUAUUCGAAACAGAACACUAAACUUGAAUUUUUAAUUUAUAGCUUGAAAAAAAGUUUCAUACGCAAACUUUUAAUUUUCUUAAAAUAAUGUUUAGUUAAAUUUUGAAUUAUGAAAGUUGACACGUGGCUAUUGCCUUUUUCACUUUUUUUUUAAUAUUGAAAAAUCUCAAGAGCCUUUUUUGUAUAUCUAGCUAAAAACGACGACGUUCCAAUUCACUUUGACCUAAUAAAAGCUUUUCUUUUUCUUUUUUGGAUAAAUUUCUCUACUUUUUUUUUUAUUUGCUUUUAUGUGAUUUUAAUAUAUAUGGUCACUUUUAUAAUGAAUCCUAACUUGAUUAACCAUUAAAGAAAAGCUAGCUAAGGGACAUUACAAUUUACAAAUUAAAUGUUUGGUUUUUCCAUAUUAUUCCAAAACCAUAGAUUUUAAAGAUGUACAAUCACUUUACAAUUCACCUUUUUCUUUUAAUUCUAUGAUGAUCUUCAAGGAUUUGGCUCAUAAAAAGUUGAUGUUUUAUGUUGAAUAUCUGGUUUAGGGUAGGCUUCUAUUAAGCUCUACUUUGCGUACUUCUUACAAUUUUUUAAAGUUGUAUAUUUUACUAUUUAAUAUAUUUUCCAAGUUUAUUAUAGUUUCGUCAAAGGUAUAUUUUAGCCUUAAAAUUACAAGUUCCUUUUUUUUUUCAAGCAAAUUGUCGUAUUAGUUCUACUUAUUCGAUUAAGCUUUGAUUCUAUAAAUGUGUAUCCCAUUUAACUUGUAAUGAGAUACAUUUAAUUCAAGUAAAGGGUUUUGAGAUAUUUGAUAUCUAAUAUUUGUGAAUUACGGUUAAAUUAUACUUAAUUACGUCCACAACAUAUUUAUUUAUUAUUAGUUGAUUGUGAAUAUACAAAUAUUAUGGAAGGUAGUUUUUCUAUUUUUUUUUAUAAAAUAGCUAUAAUUUUUUUAAAAAAUAAAAAUGAGAAUAAUGUAUAAAUUUUAUGUUAAAUCUUAAUAAAUGAAUCAAUUUAAUCUUUAGGCAUAUAAUUCCAUCUACCAGACAAAAUAAUCGUGGGAAAAAGGUUAUAACUUUAAAGCUUUUUCUUUGUUGGUUAAGAUAAUAUUCAAAAGAUUUAUCACUUUUAUAUUUUAUAUUUUAUUCGAAUUAUUUCACUCUAUUAUUCUAAAAUAUAGCUAUUUAGAAAUUAUGUACAUCUUAUCUUUAUUAAUAUUUGAAGAUAAAGAUAACAUGAGUUACAUUUUAUAUAAAAAGGCUUUAAAGUUUUAAUUAGGGAUUAUAAUAGAAUAGAACAAAAUCACAAAAUUAAUAAAACGAAAUUAAGAAUUUUAAAGAGAGAAUGAUGGGAAGUUGAUUGGGGAAGAGGAAGGAGAUUAGUGGGAGACUGAUUUAAGAGGGAGGUGGGAAAAAGAGUGGAAGGGGGAGUCGCACUCGCACGUGAGGGUUUGUUUGGAUCGGCUGGAAUGGUCAAUUCCACGGCCUCGAUUCCCUAAAAAUAUAUACCGGGAGAAGGAAAAAUGCCAGCUGGCUAAUCAUUAAUCGCCAAAAAGGCAUCUUUUAUUUUUUACUUAUUAUAUUAUUAUUAUUAGAAUACAACCACAUGAAAUAGUUGUCAUCCCAAUAAAUAAUAUUAAGCAAAUUUCGAAGUUUCUUUCACCCUACUACUAAUAUACUUGGUUCUUGGAUCAUUAAUGUGGGACUAAAUAUAUUUAUCAUAUUAAUCCUUAUUAUUAUUAUUAUUUUCCAUACAAAGAUGUUUUUACUUCAAAAAAAAAAAAAAGUUGAAAAAUGAAGCUUAAGGAAGUGUGGAAAACAUCUUUUAAAUAUGUGGUUGUCUAUUCAAUCUUUUUAAAAUGUUGUUGGAUGGAUGGAUCUUAGUCCAUUUCUAAAUUUACAAAAUAAUAAAUUUUUAAAAUAAAAAGUCUUGGCUUUUUCUUUUGAGUUUCUUAAAUAUAUAUUUGUAAAAAAAUAGACAACAUAACAAACAAACUCAUAAAUACCAUGGAGUCUUAGGUUUAGCUUUUUUAUUUUUCAAAGAAAAAGAAAAGGUCAAAUUGUAAUAUGUUAUUUAUAAGUUAUGUUUUUAUAUAUAUAUCAUCCACCUUCUUAUUGUUUUUCCAAAAACUAAACCAAUUUUUUAAUAUAAAAAAGAAAUAAACAAAGUGAAAGUUAUUCGAAAAAAGUUUAGUGAAAAUAAGUAUAAAUAAAUAAUAAAAAAAAAACAUUAUCGUAGCAUGCCUUAGGGUUUAAAAUUUAGGUUUCUAAUGUAUGGAUCGUCACAUUGAAAUUUAAAUUUAUGAUAAUAGUAGUAAUAAGUUCAACACUUUUAGUUGAUUAUGGGAUUAUAAGAUAUGAAUCAAAACAUUAAAAGUUUGGAACAAAUUAAGUAGGAUUAUAGACAGUUGGUAUAUAUAUAUGAAGUAUAUAUCGAUAAUUAAGAGUAAAUUAUGAACUCAUAGGUAGCCUCCACUUAACCUUCAACUAAGUCAAAUUUACAAGAAAAAAAUAACUAUUAGCAUAAAUAUCUCAAACUCAUUGUUUAGCUUUCAAAUUAAAUAUAACAAAAUUUCAUGUACUAUUGAUAACAAAUAUUAAUAGAGAUAACUCUAUAAACUAUCAUAUAUAUCAAAUUUUAUUGUAUUUUGUAAAUAUAUUUAUUAUUAUUUUCUUACCAUAAACAAAUUAUUUAUUUAUUUAAUUUAUUGAGAACUAUUAAAAUCAUAGGAUAUUAUUGUUUCUCUGCGUAUACUUGUAUUAUUUAAAAAAGUAAAACUCUACUUGCAUUCAUUAUUGUUCUAUGAUUGAUAAAUAUAUGUAUAUUGAUGGGUCUUCUAAGUUUCAUAUCAUAUAUAUAUCCAUGGGACCUUAUAUUAGAUCUUUUGAAAAAAUGAAAUUGAGAUCUAUACUUCUCUUUUCUUAAACUAGCCUUUUCAAUGACCCACGUUUACAUUGAAAGCAUUGCGGGCUUGUAUCAAUAUUUAUUCUUUCUCAAUGAUUUCUUUCAACAUUGGUUAAUUAAGCUUUCAAAAAAUAAAAAACCAAAAACUUUACGUUCAAAAUAUAAUAAAUUAUUUUAUAUAUAAAAAAAUUAAGAUGAAAAGUAAGAUUUGUAUUAAAAUUUCAUUUAUUUAUUUUAGUAUAAAAUGAACCAAUUAUGUCAACCUCAACUUUUUAAUCUAAAAAAGAGUGUGAACAUAUCAAAAUAUGAAACACUCUUUAAUUAAUUUAUUUUCCUUUUUUAGUACAAAGUUAAACAUUAAAAAAAACCUCUUGAUUUACAAUACAUACAUAGGUUAAUUGAAUUAAGCUAUUUUGUCUAUUUUUUUCAAAAAAAUCCAUAUAUAUAUGUAGAAGUAGAACUAAAAUUUUCAUGUAUUAAAAGAAGACAACAGCACAAUUUCAAAAUAUAAUUCAUUUAUUGAAUGGAAAUUUUCAUCUUUAUAUAUAAUAUAUUAUUGAAUAUUGAUACAUUAUUGAAAUUAAAAAGGAAAAAAAGAGGAAAAAGAAAGAAAGGAAGAAGGGAAUUAUUAAAUGAACAUGUCACAUGUCGCAUGUCACGUGGGCAUGCAUGUGUCACAAUCUAGUAGCCUUCAUUCUUUCAUUUCACUUUAUUAGGUUUUUAUUUACGUCCUAAAAUCCAAAACUCUCCAAGGUUUUCUUCGUAAUUACACAUUCCCUUUCCUUUUCUUUUCUUUUUUUGAAAAAAGAAUUAAACAACUAUUUUCCGCUCUAAACUUUUCACAAAAUAAAUUAUUGCUUACAUUUCUCCCUCCAAAUUAAUCAAUAACUACAAAUUCACUUCUCAUAAUGAGUGAUUAUGCCUCUAAACUUGUGAUCAAUCUUAAACCCAAACUUUUAAACUACACCUUAAAUUUGAAUAAUGAUUACCAUCACAACUUUAAUAAGUUGUUUAUUUCAAUUAUCUUAAAAAUAUACACGUUUCUAACUUGUCCAAUAAAUCAUAAAACAUUCAUCUACACUGUAAUACAAGUCACAACAUUUAAAAGAAAACAAUACUAAAGUUAACUUCUAGUUAAAAUUUAUGAAAUAUACAAAGUUUUUUUUUUACUUGAUUCAAAUCUCUAACUCAUGGUCUACAAUUUAUACGUUUCUUACUUGUAAAACUUUAAAAAAGUUAUUCGAUAGUUAGUUUGUAAAAACGUAGCAAAUUAAAAUGGAGAGUGAAAGUUUGAAAGGUUUAGAAUAAUCUGAAUGAAUAAGAAAAAAAGGGUUUAAUAUUUUAAAUGAUGUAUGUAUUAAUUGUAAGAAUUUUGUUUUAGGUAGAAAGAAAUAAAAGGUAAUUGGGUGGAAGUGGUAGGGACGUUUUAGAAAAAAAGGAAGAAAUGAAAUGAUUUAAUAUUUUAUGGCUAAGCAAAAGUUUGAAAAUAAAAAAAGAAAAAAAAGAAUCAGCUUUAUGGAGCACUUCCCUCAGGAACCCGUGCCCUAAGGAGGGGACCUAAUUGUGACAUCAUAUUCUCUCUACUCCAUAAUAUCCAUCCCUUUUAUCUUAUUCUCCACCGGGGCUGGGCUAUCAUAUUAUUAUUACCUCCCACCACACCCUCUCUCUUUUCUACAACCUUCUCUUUUAUAUGCCACCUCCCCCUCCCUCUUUCCUUUUCUCUUCCCCACCCAUUGCAUUCUUCUUGUUUUCUUUUACUUUCAUUUCAAAUAAAUAAUUUCAUACACAUAUAUAUUGAAACAAAGAUUUUAAUAUGAUAUUAAACUUUAUAAUCAUGAAAUUAUAUACGUGAUCAUGACAAUUAAUAAUUGACCAAUCAUGUGCCUAAACUAUAAACUAAACCAUAGUCUAUAUAAAUUAUCAAGCCAGGCUAGAAUAUAUCUUGGAAAUAGAACUAAAAUCAAUAUGUUUGACUUUGAAAACUUGGUGGAAGAUAAAUGAGGUAGAGGUGGUUGGUUAAGAAACAAAUUAUUAUCAACACCAAUCAUAUAUAUAUAUAAUUAAUCAAUCAAAAGCUGCCCAAUAAAUUAGUUUCAUUUUAACACUGCUUCUUUAGGUUAAUUUUCUUUUUUUUUUUCAAAUUAUAUACACUUUUCUAACUUCAAAGAGGGUGGGGUAUGAAAUUUAAACUUUUCCUCUUGAAAAAAAUGUUUACUUAGAUAUAGUUUAGUAGUCUACCAUUUGUUUCUUUUGUGUACAACCAUAUUGAAAUAGUUAUAUAUGUUUAAAGUUUUAGGAUAGAUUUAGUUUAGCUUUUUAAGUGUUUAAUUUUGAAAACAAUACAUUUAAUAAUAACUCAAAUUGAAAGGUUAUUAAUUUUCUUAUUUUAUCAAAGGUGUUCAAAGUAAAAAUGAUUUUUUGAAAAAUUAAUUUGCUAAAUUUUAACUUGGAUUUUGAGAAUUAGAAAGAGGGUUUAUAAAUUCAGUUUUUGAAAAUUAAAUAGUUAUUUAAGAAAGAGUUUUAAGUCAUGUUUAGGAGUCAGUUUUGAUUUUUAGUUCUUAAUUUUUAAAAUGGUGCAUCUUCACUUUUUUACCGUAAUUUUCAAAAGAAAAAUAGGUUUUUCACCAUAAUUUUCAUAUUUUAUAACAUAUAUUUGUAUUCUUAAUAAAAUUUUAGAAGAAAAAUGUUAUGCUAGAAUAUUGAAAUUCACAAAUCUUUUAUAGUUCUAGUUUAGCGUUUAAAUAAUAGUUUGGUAUGUGAUAAUUUUUUUCUUCAAAAACUCUUUAUGUUUGUUUUUUUACAAUUUUGGGAUGGGUUGCAAAGAAAAUGAAUACAACGUACAUGCACAAAAUUGUUCCUUUUACUGUGUUCAAUACAUUUCAACAACUAACAUUUUCAAAAUACAUACCUAAUUUUUUUAUAUAAAAAAUACUGUUUUUUUUUUCUUUUUGAAUCUUGGCUAAAUUAAAAUUCAAAUGUUAUCUUACAGAAGUUGGAAGAAAACAAACAUAUUUUUUCAAAAAUCAAGAAAAAUAAUUAACAAAUAGAUACGUUUUCUUUGGUACGUGAAUUACCGUCAAAUCAAACUCAUUUUAAAAUAUUCAAUUUUUCUUAAAACUUUAUUUUGAAUUUAAAAUUUGAAAGUAACACCGAAAUAGGUAGAUAUUAAGAUAUUGGUGGGGCAACCUAAAGAAUUAAGGAACAAAAUAGCACCAAGAAAGAGGACAAAAGAGGUUUAGUUUUAAUUAACAAUGAUCAAUUAAUUAAUGAACCCCAUGAUCUUUUCUAAAAACACACUAUCAUUAAUUAAUUAAUCACAUUAAUUUGCAUAGUAAUUGAGGAUAAGCACACCUUGAUACAUACACACACACACUAACAAAGCCUAAAUCAAAUUUGAUUCUAAAUAAGAAAACAUUUAUUAAUGUUUUAAAGGCAAAUAAAGUUAAUAAAAAAGAUCACAUUAUAAAUUAAAUAGCACCAUUAAAAUGAAGCAUCCUAACUCCACUAACACAAGAAAAAAAUGAAAUUAAUUUAGUAAUAGUGGAUUGUGAUUUGUCUCCAAGAUAUGGAAACAGGCCAUGGAAUCCCAAAACUUGGAUUUUUUGUGUGUCUUUUUCCUAAAACCAUCAUUAAUCCCUAAUUGUUUGUGUGUUUAAUUAGCCAACUAUCUUUGACUAAUCUAAUCUAUUAAUUCUAAUCUAGGGUGAAGAAGAGUGAUUUGUAAGAUACCUAUAAAGAAUUUUGUAGUGGAUGGCUUUGUUUCAUGUUGGUGAUUUUAAAAUAAUAAUAUCUGUUUUUAAUAUAAUAAGGUAUUUUCUUUUUCAAAUUUUCCAUAUGUUUCAUCCACGAUUUGUUAGAAAAAUUGUGUAAUAAUUACUAUAAUACAUGAUAAAUUUUAAAUUGUAACGGUUCCGUUCCAAGAUUUAAAUUUAAACUUGGUAUAUGAUGAUUGUCUGAAUAUUAAUUAUCCUUCAACGGCUUCUAAGAUCUAGUCACUCUUACUCGCCUUCGAGACUACUUCUAUUUUGUUAGUAUAUAUAAUAACUCAAUUUUGAUGAACCCUGGUACCGAUUUAUUUACGUAGUUUACUUUUACUCGAGCAUUAUAUUACAUGAAUUCAUUUUUAUAUAUUAUGUUUUUGUCUUUUUAUUACCAUUGGAAAACCACUUUCAUCUUGACCACAAUUUUUUUCCCUUUAUAUGUUAUUUCAACAUAAACAAAACAAGAGAGAAGUAAAAGUUACACGUACUAACUUGGAUGAGGUUGAGUUUCAAAGUAAAUUAGAAGCGUCUUGAAACCAUAAAAAAUAGAGUUGCAAUGUGAAAAAGCUAAUAAAAAGUAAAAUUGAUAUUUAUCAAUCAUGAUGCAUGUCUUACCACAAACUUCGUGAACUGAUCAACUUCCAUCACUUUAUUAGCCAAACACUUCAUUCAUAUCUUUAAAGUUCUUAAUCAAACUUUAAAGAUCAAAACUAAUUAUAAGUUUAAGAAUCAAAACUAUUAUAGGUCAUAAUUUAAGCUUUAUAUUGGUACCAAUUUCUUAUAGUCUUCUAUUUUUUUUUUAAUGUAUUCUUGUUUCCUCUUUAUUUUUUAUUAUAAUUUUUAUUUUAUGAGAGUAACAAUUAAAAUUUGACUUAAUUUUAAAAAUAUUAAUAUAGCAAUUGCCACAAUUUGAUGGUCACACCUUAAGUAUAUGGUCAAAAUGAUUAUAUAAUGAAUGUCUUCAACCAUUUUACUAAACUCAAUUUCUCAUUUGGUAAUUUAUUUCCACUUCUCUUUUUCCCCCAAGUUCUUAACCUAAACAUAGUUAAUGAAACAAACCCACUAAGUUCUCAUAUAAUAAUAUCUCAAAAGCAUAGGUUAUAUAUACAUAUAAUAUAACACAAAUACAUAUAUAAACAAAGCUUCAAUAAUUGCCACUAAGUACACAUUUUAUGUGGAGAGGGGGGGCUACGAAUCUUUGAAGGGUCCCUCACCCUUGAAAUUAGGGUUUUUGGGACCUAAUUUUUUCAAUCCCCCUUUUGCUCUAAAUUAUUGAAUAACAAAAUACCAUGCAUCUUCUUUCAUUUAAUAUCAAUUAAUCAAUUAAUAUAGCAAAAGUUUUUGGUUUUUUCUUUUAAGUAUUUGAUUUUAAAAUAAUAAUGUUAUGAAAUGUCAAUUUGUUCUGCAAAAACGGUUGAUGGGUUUAAUAAUUUGAUUGGAAAUGGAAGAAUUAGAUGUGAAUACAAACAAAAUAAAUUAUAAUUAAUUAUUGAAAGGGUUAUGUUUUUGGAUGAUUCCUCCUUUGUUUAUGGAAAUUGUCCCACUUGAGUUGCAUUUGUAUUACCUUUGGAAUCUACCAAUUGAUUCCUCAAUAUAUCUCUCUAAUCUAUAAUAUAUAUAUAUAUAUAUAUUACAUGUGUUCCAUUAUUGAUGGAUUAGAUUUGUGAAUUACAAAACUAACAGAGGUGGAAUCAUCCACUUUUAUGUUUAAUAUAAUAUUUUUCACCCAGGUGAAUGAUGUAUCGAAUUUCAAACAUUCAUACUAGAUACUAAUAAAAGAGAAUAAGAUUGCAUGAGUUUAAUACUCAAAAUUUCUUGGAUCCAAUACAAUUUUAAACAAACGAUUGAUACAAAAUUUUAAGUUUACGGAUGAAAGCAAAUUUAAUAUUAUAUCAUAUAACAAAUUUCAUUAAUAAGUCGAUUGAUUCAAUACACCUACUAAAUUGGAUGUUAUAUUGGUUUAAAUAACUUAAACAUAAUAGAAAUUUGGAGGUAAAAAGGAGAGUUUAUAUAAGGUAUUUUUCAAAAAUCUAAAAUGAAAAAAAAAAAAGUUGAAUUUUUCUAUUCUAAUUCUUCUAAGAAAGUUUAAUAAACACCAUAACAUAAAUUCGAUUGUUCUGCCAUUUUUUCCCCAAUAAUUAUUCUCUUCAUAAAUGCAAUUAAACUUCAAACUUUCCACUUUUUUCUAUACAAAUCCAAAUUGAAAAUAAUGGAAAUAGUCCAUUUAUGAAAAUAUAAUAUAGAGUAUGAUGUAUUUGACAUAGAAGGGUGUGUUAAACCAUUACUUUCAUAUAAUAUAAAUGAAGUUCAUCAUAUAUGGACAUAUCUAUUUUGAUGUAAUAGUACAUGUGUAUGGAGAGAUAGCAAUAUCUAUUAUCUAAUGAAUGUAGUAAUCAAUGACAAAGUGGUUUGACAAUAUAGUAGACAUGAUUUGUGAUAGACAGAACCCAUAUAUCUUUGAUUAUAAACUUUAAAACCAUAUCUUUAUAGAAAUAAAUAAACCACUCACCUAUAUAACUAAUGAUGUAGUUUUUCUUUACUUUAUAUGUCCGUUACAAAGAAAACGAUCAAAUUGGGCCUUUUGUAUUGGGCUUCAAAAAUAAUUAGUAUUAAUAUCCAAAGCCCAAUAUCUAAGCUCCGUAUCCUCAACUUUGGGCAAAAGCCCAACAGAACGCCGGAGAUUAGAAAUCAUUGGAUAUUUUAAAAUUAUUUUUAUGUUAAUUAUUUUCUUUUAUGGGUUUUUUUUCUCUUAAAAGUAUAAGACAUAAUAUUUACACGCAGGAGUUUUGAAAAUGGAAAAAGUCUACGUGCCAACAAUAAAAAAUAUAAAAAAUUGUAAUGUAAACCUGCUAUUAAUUAGACUUAGCUGCACAAUCAUUUAUAUUUGAGUUUUUUAGAUUUAGUACCAAAUCAAAAUGAUUUUGAUUUUAAAGUCCGCUCAUAUAGGAUCGUUUGAGAAAAAAAUAAAUCUUUUAUAUUUGAUACACGAUCUUGAACCAAAUAACAAUUUGAAAAAAAAAAAAAUUGCACAAGAAGACAAGAAGAAGAUGGUAGUGAAAAGAAAAAUUAAGAAUAUAAAAAGAAAAAGAAAAAUUGGGUAGAUGGAAAUAAAUGACCUUGAAAUGUUUAUAAAAAAAUAGUCAACUUCAUGAAUUUUUGUUUAAAAGAAAGUCAAAUAUUUUCUUUCUUUAUUUUAUAAAGUUAGUAAAUGUGAUAAUCAAUGAAAAUGAAUUGAUUUUCUAAUACCGAAUAAAGUUAAGGUGGAAUCGAAUGAUACUUUUAGAAUGGAAUGUUAUGUCAAUUGACACUGACGUGAGCUUGAUUUAUUUUAAAAAAAUUCAAAUUUAUAAAUUUAAUCUAUUAAAAGUAUAUAAUUUUUUUAAAUUUAUAAAUGUAUUAGGCACAACUAAAGUUAUAUUAAUCAGAAAAUGAAAAGAAAGAUACAUUAGUUACUCUUCAAAGUUCAUAGUUCAUGGACAAGAAGAUGAAUCUUUGUUAAAUCAUACUCGAAUUGAUUGGUAAGGCAAAUAUUUAGAGUAAAGGCUUUACAUUUAUUGCAAUAUUAACAAUAUAUUAUACUUCCUAAACCUCAUAUAUAUAUAUAAAGAAGUAACUCCCUCCAAUUAAGGGACACUUCUCUCUAAUUUGUGGGGACAACUACAACUCAUACAAACAAUACCCAGCUUUGAAAACUAACUUUAAACACUCUUAUGAUUUGCAUCAUCUGUCAACGAAGACAUAUGUGCAAACCAUAGAGGUUCAAAACUAAUUUUAAGAAACAAAAUAUGAUUUGUAGAAUUUACAAUCAUCCCUUUUAAGAUGAACUGAGAGUGAAGAACCUAAAGAAUAUAUUAUAUCCUCUAAUCCCAAGAGAUGAAUGGUGAAUCUUGUGGUGUUUAAGAAGGUAAAUAGCAGUCUAUCUUUUGAUCUUUUGGCCAUCCAAACUCUUCAAGGAAUGCCAACACAACACCAUUUGACCAUCCAAAGCCAGUCUACAUUCAAAUACAAACACCAAACAGAACGAUAAGCAAAAACUUUAAUUGAAUUAAGUCUCAUUUGAUAACAAUUUUAAUUUUUUGUUUGUUUUCUCUAAGAUACUAUAUUAUCGUUUUCAUAAUCGUGAAAGUAGUGUUUCAAAGAUUAAUUUUAAAAAAGGAAAGGCAAAAAAGAAAAGAAAGGUCAGUUGAAUCAGAUACCUGAGGGACGUAUUCACCUCCUCCACCAAAGCCUCCACACUUUUGGACAUCAUAUUUCUCAUGCAUAAAUCCUGUGUGCUUGUAAGCUACAUAGUUGGUUCGGAGCCAUCUGGCGGCGAUGUCCUCGGCCAAUGCCUUUGCUUCUGGCAGUUCAGACCUUGCCAGUCCCUCGACAAUCAUGUGUUGGAUUGGUGCCCAACCGUUCGGGAAAUCCCUUUUGUUUUACAAAAGGUUUCAGCAUGAACAUCAAACAAAGAGAUUUAGAAGAAAGAAAAAGACCAGUGCGAGUACUACUAACCAUUGUUCCCCCGAAUUAAUCAUGGAAGUUGCAAUCCCAGCAUUGCAUAACAAGCCUGAGUUCCGUAAACUUUUCAAAACUUUCUUCAUUUGUCUGCUAUCUGCAUAUAUAAAAAGAAAAAAAAGGAAAAAACAGACGAUUUAAAUUAAUCUUACCAUUCCUAAUCUAAACUUUCAAAGAAAUUAGGCUGAAAAAAUGCUAAUGAUCAAGAGGGAAUUAAUUACAAACCGGAGUAAAAUGAUUCGACCCACAAGGGAAUGAAGUUUGAAGCGUAUACGUUCUGGUUCUGGUUUCGAACAUCCCAUGAAUGAGCACCCUAAAAGCACCAAAAGUUUCGAUCAACUUAACUGCUAAAAGAAAACAUUCAAAAGCUGAGAAAUUUUCAGAAUUGUGUAGAGUAUUUUACCUUGUACGAGCCGUUAUCAAGCCAGUAAUCAAGCCAUUGUCCUUUCUCUGAAUUCCAAAAAAUAGAGUUGAUUGUCUUCUUUCUAACUAGAGAGGCCUCAAAAAAGUGUUCUGCCGUGCAGUAGUCUCCAACGGCUCUUGCCAAAUUGGAAAUGUCAAGUUCCAUCUGAAUCAAACCAUACGCAUCAGUUGUGCUAAUGGCAAUAAAAAGAAACGCCGAGAUCUUCGAAGAACUAAUCCAAACCAUACCUUGAGUAUGAAUACAUUGAGAUCAACUGGCAAGAUUGAAGUUGUAGCCAAUGUCGACAAGUCUGUCGAAUCCCUUUAAGAAGCAAACUCAAAAACAUUAAAAACUUCAUUGCUGUAAUACUUUAAAAACGAAUCAGGCUCUUAGCUCAGCAAAUAUAUUUAAGAUCUGAGAUCACAAUAUCUUGUACCUCAUCCAUCUUGAACUGAAAUCCCAACCGGAUUCGGCUGCUGAUGCGAUUUCCCGGUAUAGAUGCUUUUUUUCAUAGUUAUUCACGAACUUCGAGGCAACUUUCUCAUCCUGUCAAUAGUAAAUCAUAGAAUCAAACACAACGUUGCAUACUAUUAUUUCAAAUGCAGGCAAAUGGCAUCAAAGAAGAAAACGCACCACCAGCGAAGAUUCCGGCCUCGGUUCGUUCCACAUUGCAUAGUACCUAGACAAGGAGUGAUUUCCAUUUCCAUUUUGGACAGUAAUUGAAUGGAAUCCUAAAACCAAUAGAAAAAAACUACAUUAUAAUCUUACUAAAACUAAAUCUUUGAUUGAGUAAGAAACAUCGGUGUCUGGCUGUACCUGAAUUCCAAAACUUAUGCUCUUUGAUUAAAGCAGGGAGUGAAUUUCUCACAAACUCUAAAUCCCCAGUCCUAAGGUAUAUGUCAUAAACCAUGGAGCUCAAAAGGGGAGGCUGACUGCAAAAUGCAAUAAAAAGUUUGAUUAACAGUUCAAACUGUAUUCAUAAUCAAGUUAUUGCAAAGCAGUCCAAAAGUUGAUUUGUUUACCUUCUGUUAGUGUAAUAAGAUCUGGCACCAUUAAGAACAUGGCCAAACUCAUCGAUCAUUGAAAUUAGAUUAAUAACAAUUCCCUUAGCAGUAUCGUACAUUUUACUAGCUAACAAACCUCUGCAUAGAAAUAUAAAAAGAAAAAAACACUAUCAAUCAGAACAGUGCCAAGAAUAACAAAUUAGGUAAUAACCCCACUUAGUUUGUCAUAUCUCAAGAAAAUUUAAUAUAUAUAUCAUUUUCAUUCUACAGUAAAACUUCCCCUUUUUUAAUAAAAACAAUUCAAGCUAAACACUGUUUCUUCACCAAAUAAUAAAAGGGGUGAAACGACCAAAGAAAAGGGGUUAAACAUAGAUAAGAACGCCUUUCUUGGAAAAACAAUGAGUCAUCAAGUUUUGUCAGGGUACCUGAUAAUCCAAUAAGAAUCCCAAUAAUAAAUUUCCCGGAAUCUUGAUCCCGGAACGACAACAGGCUCAGGCAACGGCAGCAAAGUGUGGGUAUCAGGAUGAUGAAUGAGAUCAUCAGAGACUCUACGGCUAAGAUUCUUCCAAAAAUUAUGAAUAUCGAAAGCCCAAGCUCUAACUUCCACAUUCUCAACUUUGGGCAAAAACCCAUCAGGAUGAGGGUCAAAAUCGGCCGGAUUAGAGUAAACCAAGUCGGUUCCGGCACUAUCGAAAUAGUUCGAAAUGAAUGUCCUCAAAUUCUCAACGGAAACAGAGCCAUUGGAGGAUCGUUCAAGGGCAUCAAAAGCGAUUUGGGUAGAAUUCAAAUCGAAUUUCAAAGACAAAUCGACAUAAUAUUUAAGAUCAAAAUCCAAUUUCCCAAACGAAUUCAGAGCCACAACCUGAAUACGCUCAAGAAACUUAACGAGAUUGGGUACUGGAAUAACAGGGCCCUUAUCGGCGAGGCGUGGGGAAAAAACUUCCGGCAACGACGCGGCGGCGGGACGGAGUAAUGGCAUGAUGAGAAAGAAAUGGAAAAGGGUUAAUGAAGAAAAACGAAUGGGAGGAAGAUGGGAGUGAAGGACAGGCAUAUUUAUAGGGGAAGAAAACGCGGGGGAGGUGAAGUGGUGGUGACAGAAUGCAAAGUAGGAGAGAGAGAGAGAGAGAGGGAUUUGAGGCGAGGAAGAAGGUGAUGACUAGGAUUGAUGUGGGAAAUUUUUUGAUAUUCGAGUAGGAAUGAAGAAGAACAUGGGUAAAUGGAAAGUUUUUUCUUGAAGAAGAGAAAAGAACAGAGGGGGUUUGGCUGAAUUUGUGCCAAUGGGUUCUUCCCAAUUGCCAAAUUGUUUAACUUUUCUUGGAAACUUCUCUGUCUUCUUCUAAAAAGAUGAGAACAAAAAGUUAGAGAAAUGAUAAUAAACUAACAAUAGAGGAGCUGUUUGGAUUCAAGCCUUUUUCAGAUGCUUUUUGGAGGUUUUUUCUUGAAAUUUGAUUGAUUUUAGAGUUCAAUUUGGAGUUUGGUUUCUCUUCUUAGGUUAAAAUACAAUUCUUUUUAUCCUCAUAGUAUGAUCAAACCUAGUUCAUGUCCAUUAUUGAUAAUAUGAAGAUCACUUUUUUUUCAUCAAUUGAACUAAAUGAUUAUUAUUGGUUCGACCUCAAUUCACUUUUGCAUAUUCAUGACAAUUUUCAUCUAAUGAAAUACACAAUAUGAAUAUAUUUGAAUUUUCAUUUAAUGAAAUACACAAUAUGAAUAUAUUUUCAAAAUUUAUAAAUAACAAACAAGAAAGUUCUAUUUUAAAAUGUAAGAAUUAAAAUUGAACAAAGAAAGGUUUGAGUCUAAGAUUAAAUAUACUUUUAAAACAAAAUGAUAUUUUAAUUUUUUUAAAAAAAUCUCAAGUUCAGUUUUUAAAAAUAUUCUAAACUCCCUCAAUAAUUCUCUUACACUUUAAGAAAUUUAAUGUUGAAAUAAUAAGAUAACUAUUUGAAGAGAAUAGAAUUUGAAAAAUGUGUAUAACUUAACUUUACUUUGACCAAUGUUACAUAUGAUACUAUACAUAUAUACUUAUUCUUUUAACCUUUGUCCAAUGUUACAUAUGAUACUUAUUCCUUUAACCUUUGACCAAUAUUACUUAUGAUACUACGUAACUAUGUAUAUAUACUUAUUCUUUCAACAUUGAUCAAAGUGAAUAUAUUUUUACGAUAUAAAUAGCUAAUUUUGUAACUAAAUAAACAUAUUGAUUUCAUUUGAUCUGCAUGAACACGUAUACAUAAGAGAAAGUGUGUUACUAGAGUCAAAAAGCGACUAAAUAGAGUUAUAUCGAACUUGCAAUAAGUCAUGUUGAUUUUCGAUGGUGAUGCACUUAUUGAGUAUUCACUGAUAACAUUGUUGAAAAUAACUUGCAAUAAUCUAUUAAUAUAUUUAGAAAGAAAAACUUGAGUGUUGAAAAUAAUUAUAUAUAUAGAUAAUAAAUUUGAUUAUUUAAAAAAAAAAAAAAGCAAAAUAGAAUUUAAACUUCGAAAUAGGUAUCUUCACCUAAAUUCAUUAAAAAUUAAAAUCUACUUUGACCAUUAAAGUUUGACAACCAAAAAUAUCUGUUUUUUUCUAUUCAUAUACUCAGUUUCAUAAUUAAUUUAUUAAUUUUCUUUUCAGUUAAAAGUUUGAAUUUUAAAAUCAUUUACUUUGAAAUUUUCAGUUUUAUUUUGGAUUUGGUAAAUUUUUUUAUUAAAUAUAUUAUCCACUUUAUUUUUGAAAAUUAGCUUAUAUAAGUAUUAUUUCUCCUACUUAUAUAUACAUUUAAGAAAAGAGAGAGAGAAUAGAAUUUUGAAAAAUCUAAAUAUUAUGUUUUAAUAUUACUUUUGAAGAUUGUUAAGGCAUAGUUGUUAUGUUUAAGUUGAGUUGAUUUUGAUUUUGAGAUUUUAAAAUGUAAAAUUAUAUUAAAAAAUAAUAAUAAUUGUAUUAAUAGAUAUAGUUUCUUAAAAGAAAAUUAGUAUUUCGAAUUAUAAACUCAUUUUCUUAGUAUUAUAUAAUAUUAAAAAACAAUAAUAUAUAAAAUAUUUUUUAAAAAAUUUAAUUGAAUAACUUGUUUUUAAAUUGGGAAAGAGAAUGUAAAAAAUGUUAAUAGAAAUAUCGAUAAAUAUUGAUGUCAACUAAAAUAGUAAAUAAAUAUUUUUAAAAACUUUUUUACAAUAGAAUAAAAAUAUUAAUUCUCAAGAGUGGGAAAGUAUUUAAAAAAACAUUUAUGGAUAUAUGUGAAAAAGAGUUUUAUAUAUUUGGAAAUGAAAUUUAGGGUUGAAAUGAAAGAAGUAAAAAAUGGGUAAAAGAUUGUGUGGUUGAAAAGGUUGAAGUAGCCAAGUUGGUGGUAGAUGAAGUUAUCAAUAUCCACUUGGUAGAUAAGCUUAAAAGCAAUUCUUUAAUUUGUUGACUAACCAUUAUUAUCUUAUAACUUAUCACUACAAACUAUUUAAAUUAAAACAAACAACUCCCCCUAACCUAUUACUUACAACAUCUAUUUCCUUUUAGAAAAUCAAAACUUAUAAUUAAAUUAAAUUAAUCAUUUUAAAAGAAUAGGAAGAAGGUUGAAUCUUAAUUUAAAAAGUGGAGACAAACCCUUAUUAUUGUUGUCAUCUAUAUAUGUAUUCUUUUCUAAGGAUUGAUUCUUUACUAUAAAAAUAAUGGACACCUCAACUCAAUGCUUCAGUGUUGAUUUAUUUUCUAUAUAAUAUAUUACAUAAAUAAUAUCAUAUAUAGGUUAAAUUAUGAUAAUUGACCAAUAAGUGGAGAAUUGACCAUAUAUCAAUCAAUAAAUAAAUACCAAAAGGAUAAUUGAGUAAAAUAAAUUGAUAUUUGAAUCUAUUGAAAUAUUAUUUCAAUUAGAAAUUUAAAAUAUUCAAUAAAUAAAUCAUAUUAAUUUAGGGUAAAGUAAAUUUAAUUCAAAAUUAAUAAGCACUUAUUGGUCGAGAAAUCACAAUAAAUGUCGUGCCAUGACCAACUUCUAAUAUUAGUAUUUCUAAUAUUUGUCAAACACAUUGUUUUUUUCCUUUGGUCCAAAUUCAAAAUUUCCCAAUUAUUAUUUCAUUUAUUGUUUAUUAAGUUUAUAAAAAAACAUUGAAGUAAUACAUGAACAGAGCAUGUGUGAGUCAUCCAUCAUGCAAUGUAAGUACGUAGCUUAGUUUACUUAACCAAAUAAUCAAGAUCCGGAUGAUAGUUGUACCAUUUACAUAUUGUUUGAAAAUAAUAUUCAUAUAGACCUAACUUUGAUGCAUGCCAAUUGCUUAAUAAGAUUAAUGCAAUAUCUUCAACAAACUAUUUGAUGGAACAAAUUUUUUUUUGUAUCUUUUUACAUCAAGAGUGCAGCAUGGGAAAAUGGAAAAUGUUUUGUUGUAUGAAAUACAAAUAGCUAAUAGAUUUUUUUGUAUUUUUUAAAAAAAGUUUAUAAAAUAAUAAAUUAAUUUAUGCUUAGUUCAAUGUACAAUAAAAAAAAUUAGAAUGAGUUCAAUAAAGACUUUCUCGUGUGGUUCAAGAAUUUUUAAAUCAUUAAUAGUUUCACAAUUUAUAGAUAUCAAUUCUACAAUUAGCUAGCUAAUUCUUGUCAUUAUAGGCUCCACGAUUAAACAAGUUCAACUUCUCCAAAUAUCAACUUAAAUUUUUUAAUGAAACUAAUUGGGACCAAGCUAGAAUUGUUUGGUGUUGUAACCUAGAACAAAAAUUAGAUGUUACGUGAAUCGUGUGACGUUGUAACCUAGAAGAAAAAAAAUCAAAUUACUUAUUCUAAAUCGGUAUCACAUUUUUUCAAUGUUCAACUUCCCCCUAAAUUGUAAAGAGAUUUUACUUGAAGGAUAUAUUUUUACCUAUUUCCCUAAUAUCAAAUCAAAAUUUUCCAUUACGAAACCAACAACUUUUCAUUAAAAGCUAUUUUACUAUAUUCUAAAAGUCCAAAUCAUUCCAAACAACUUUCAUAAACGGUAGGGGUUUGAGAUGCUAUUUUACGAAACUUGCUUUGGUGUUCGAUACACAACCAUAAAAAAAUCUACAAUUUGAAUAAUUUAUCAUAUGAAAUAGUAUAUAAUUACUUGUAAAGAUAUCUUUUAUUUCCUUCAUAUACUUUGUUUAGUUUAAUAUAGCUCAACUAGUCACUUCCAACCUAAAACGAAUCUUAAAUGUCAAAAUAUACCAAACCUUAUGUUAGUUGAAAGAAACCAAAUUUUGGCCCUAAGGGAGAAAAAAGCAAAUGGAAUGCAUUUUUUCAUGUGUCAUGUAUGGAGGAUUGAAAAGGACUAAAGUUUUUAACUUAUAGCCAAUGUGUGUAAAGAAGAAAGGGUGUCACUUUUAUAUCAAUUGCUUUCAAAUUGUGUAUAUAAAAAGAAAAGUUAGAACCUUUUGUUUGGAAGAAGAAAGAAAAAACUAUUUUCAUGUCUAUUCUAACUUUAACUUGAAGAACUUGAAGAAGAUGUUUAUGCAAUUUUCAUUCACAAAUUUUUUGUGGGCUAAAGAUAGUAUCGUCCAUAUAUAGUUUUAGUUCAUAGUAAAAUAAUCGCUACUAAACUCAAAUUUACUUGAAAAUACAAUCACUUGAACGUUAAAGAUAAAAUUGAAAAAUAACAACUUUAUUAGAAUUUAUUAAAACAUUUCUCGACUUUCUCAACAAAAGUUGUAGUUGUUGGAAUGCCUCUUGAAUUUGGUAUGGGAUGUCACGAACAACCUCGCAACCCUAGCUCUUCUAGUUAUUGUAAUUGAGCACAUAUAUUUAUUUAUGAGUUAUUUACGGAUUUUGACCAUAGGGUUGUGCUAUAUACACAAACUCUUUAAUCUAGUGACGCUAUAUUGUUUAAUGAAAAAAAUUCUCCUUAAAUUGUUCUCCUUCUACCUCAUGACCAUAGUUAACAUACUUUUAAUGAGCCACACAAAUCUCUACGUCGGAUUUUAUACAUUUUUUAUAUUAAGCAUAAUCGAAAGUUCAAACAUUCAUAUCUCAAGAUAGAAUAUCUUUGUCAUUUAUUUUUCAAGAUAAAAUAUUAAUGUCUAUCAUGAAAUGAUCUAAAAUUUUACUUUAAUAUUAAAAGUGAACCGUAGAUCGGGUUUAACGAAACUAAAAAAAUAAUAAAUGAGGGAGAAAGGAGAGGUUUAGGGAUGACUUAGAUUUUUGUUUCAAUUAUAAUAAUAAGAAUAUAAUUGAUAUAGAAGUUGUCAAAAGUGGGCAUAUGAUUAUUUAUAUAGAUCAAGAAUGCCAUAUCAUAACCAACUACUAAUUUUAGUAUUAUUUGUUAACUUCACCAAAUUUGGCCAACACACCAUUACUUUUUUCUUUAGCUCUGAAUUUUGAUCUUCCCAAAUAUUAUUUUAUUAAAUCAAACAUUAUAAUAAAAUAAAGUUUAGACAACUAUAGUGUUGGAUUCAUGAACAUCAAUAUUAUAUGUAGAAAAAAAAAGUGUAUUUUGGAUAUCCAUGAAUAGUGAGUAUGACACAUGGCACACUUUUUGUCCUAACUUCACAUGGACUACUACAUUCAAAUUUAAUAUUUUUAAAAGUUGAAAAAUCCUUUUAAAUAGAAUUUAAUAAUUAUCUUACAAUUGUUUCGGAUAAAACUGUUAGCAUUUGGUUUGAAAAAUAGAAAAGUUCGAACUUUCUGUUUAUAUACAAAUAGAAUUAAUCAAAUUUGGGACUGUUAGUGAAGAUUUGAUUAAGUUGAGAAUUAUUUGUGAGAGUUCAUUCAAUUUCAAAGACACACUAAAACUAAUUUUAUUAUUUCAAAUUUAUACUAUCAAUUCAAACAUACUUUUAAAUAUUAUUUUUAAAAAAUUUCUAACCACAAUUCAAAAAUUGAAAAGAGAAGUUUUUUUUUUAAGAUAAAAAUAUCGUUUUAAAAGUAGUUUAAAACAAAUGACAAAUUAAAAGUAUAUUUUUGUAAUCCAAAACGAUGGAUUCAAAUCCAACGGAAACAAUUAGGGUGCGAGAAAUCGUGUGGACACAAAACAAUGAAAGUGGCUUCCCCAAAGAUCGGCGCUUCGGACGAUUACAACUGGCGGAUUCAUUCCAUUUGCCGCACCCAAUUAUUCACCGACACGUAAUCCAUGCUGUAUCCAACUCAGCAACCUUUGGUAGGUCCCAUGUUUAUUAAGUUUUGUUAUUAAUAGUAUUGGCUGAAGACUUCGGGCUGAGUACGUGGCUGAAAAUCAUGCUUACAGUGUAAAUUCCACGUCAACAUUUUUGUUUAUUAUUGAAAUUAAAAUAUAUUUGAUAGGUCAAUAUCAGAUGUAUUAUUUAUUUAUGAUAUUGUUGUCAAUGAAUUGUUUCAUUCUAUCGUCAAUGCUAUUUUUCUUCUUGGAAAAAUAAUAUAUUUUUUGCCCAAUUUUUCUCUUAGGUUCUGUUUGAUGGAAAAGUAAGAAAAUUUUGAGUUUGAUUAUAUGUGAUGUUCAAAUUUUACAAAGUUAAUGUUUUUUAAUUUAUAUUUUAUAUCGAUUGACUUGUAGUUUCUAUAAUUCUUUAAUUUAGUCCUACUAAAUUAAUUUUAAUUAAAAUGGGUGAAAUAGUAAUAUUAUUGAUUUUCUUUAAAAAAAAUAAAGGAUAUGUGAAUAUGUUUUAAAAAGGUAAUAUUAAUAGAUAAUAUUUUUAAAAAUAAUAAUAAUAAUAAAUUAACAGUAAAAACUAAAUCUAAAAUAAGGAGUAAAACUGAAUAUAUGAAAAAGUACACAUGAAUUGGUACCUAAGCUUAGAAGAAAAAUAAAAUUGUUAUUUUAGAGAUUUUAUAGUCAAUAAGGGAAAAGAUAACGAAUUAAGAAAGAUUAGAUUGCACCUAAAAUAGAAAUUUAUGGGAAAGUUUUCUUGAAACCUAAUGGAAAAGAAGAAGAAGAAGAAGAAACUAUAUAUUUAUAUAUAUUCUAAAAAAAUACAUUAUCCCUCUUUUCUUUGGACAUUAUAAUAGGAUCAAACUGUUUAUUAUAUAGAAAGUAGAAAGAUCAACAUUUGUAUGGUUCAAAAUUAGAAUUAAUUAACAAGGUAAGUUAAUAAAAUAAUAGACAAAUAAGUCAAGAAAAUAGACAUUAUUAUAGAAUGAAUUAAUUAAACAAGGUAAGUUAAUAAAAUAAUUACAUGAGUUAUUUAUAUAUAUAUGAUUAUUGGGCAUGUUAUCUUAGCAAUAAUGGAAGCACAACACAUAUCGGCAUAAGGGUUUGCAAGUCUCUUAGUCAAAUGCAUGUAUAUGAUCAUUGAGCAACCACUGCAUGAAAUGUUUAGUAGAGACAUUAAGUGAAAGAGAUUUGAAAACUUUAAUACACGAGAGUAGUGAGAGAGUAGCGCAAUUAGCGUUCAAGUACUAUGAUAACCACUUAUAUAUGAAAUAUUGAUCUUUUGGUUUAAUUUUCAACGUUCUAUAUAGUAUUGAACAUGUUAUUUUAUAAGAAAUUUGAAUAAAAUAAUUAUAAGACAAUCUCCUCCACCUCCUCCCAUAAUCAUACCAUAGUCGUUGGACUAUCAAGCUUCACAAUGAUCGAGCAAGAAAUUAAACAAUAGCCCUGAAUUAACUCAUCAACUGUAGUAGAUAUAUUUUGGCUGGUUAAGAGGCUUGUUUCAAUCAACUAUAUUAUGGACCAAAAAGUCACAUUUUUCCCCACUAGGGAUUAAUUGUAUGUUCCACAAUGAAGUUGAAAGAAUAACUAUGGGACAUCAACAUGACUGACAAUUUGAUUCAAUAUUGGGCCAACUUAUUAGAUUAAUAGACCUGCUUGAAUAACGAUGUGCAUGCAUGCAAAGAUUGUGCUACCACAAUUUUAGAACCUCGCGUACAAGUCAUUCUCGACAUUUUUGGGACAACGACAUUGCUUGAAAGUCUUUUGCUAUAGUCUAAGAGCCAACGUCACUCUAACUGACAAUUUUUAUGGGUGUUAUGGGUCUGAGUUGCUAUUCAACCUAACUUACUUCAAACCUAAAUGUAUCACCACAAGAAAGAUGUGGUUUGUGUAAGUUAUCAUAUAGAAUAGCAUAUAAUCAUGUCAUUUACUUCUUUCAAAUAUUGUCGAAUAAAAUUUAGAAAAAAAAAAAAACAUUUUGCUCAAAUUUGAUGGAACUAGAAAAUAGCAUCCAAAAAAGAAAAAGAGGAAAAAGAUGAAGGUAUUUUGUGUCUUACUUAUAAAUCCAUAAAUUCCGAAUAUAGAGCAAAGGGAGUAAUGUUUAGAUGUGAAAUUGAUUUUAGAUCUAUAAUCAAUAGAAACGUUACUAAACAUGAUCAAAAUUAGAUCCAUAGUAUAACUAAGAAAGAAUGUAAUGUAACGUCAAGAGAACGGUAACAACUUUGAUGAAAAGUUGAAGAGAAAAGUAAUGAAAUGUUAUUUCAUUUUACGCUUACCACGAUUACUUGGACAACGCCAUAGUAGGUAUGGAAAAAGAUUUUACAACCACUACAACCACAAUUUGAAAUCUUACACAAAAAUCGUGGUAAAUAAAUCCACCAUAAACAAAUCAAAAUAUUCGAAUGUGAGACGACAAUUAGUGUUUUUGACAUGAGUCAAAACCACGAGUUAUUUUCCAACAAUUUGGAUGGAUGAUAAAUUAAUUUAAGUUAUUAUUCUACCUAACUUGCUUGAAUGUACAAUAAAGAAACGCAUAUGUGGUUGGUGUAAUUUAUCAUAUAAAUUAAUAUAAUUCCUAAAGUUACUCUCAACCUAAAAAUAAUGUGAAUAUCAAAAUGCAUCUAACCUUUUCUUGAGUGAAAUCUAGUUGAAAUUAGAAAGAAAAUUUAGUAAAAGAAAUAAUAAAAUAAAGAAAAAUUAAAGGAUGACAUUUUUCAUGUGUCAUAUAUGGAGGAGGAGAGUGACAUGAGGUUUUAGCUUUUUCCAAUUUGUAUGAAGAAAAAAUGUGUUGUUUUUAUACAUUGCAUUAAAAUUGUCUUAAAGCAAUGUUGGGCCAACUUUCUAAGUUUGUAAUACAUCAUCUAAUCGUAACUUCAUUUUCUUAUUUUUUGUAUUAGAAUUCUUUUCACAUAUAUUAACAAAACUCAAUCUUCCCCUUUUAUCUCUAUUUAAUAUACUUUUUACAAUUAAUAAACUUUAUUUUACAACUCUACAUCCUAAAGUUACUAUAAAAAAAUUGUCUUAAUAAGAUAUCUUAAGCGUUACACACGACACUUCUUAAUGUAAGAAAUAUAUCGAUACAUCUUUACAAAAAAUAAUAAAAUUGGAGUAAACAUGAGAAUUUUAAAACAUAUUCGAGGGAAGAAAAGAAAUGAAUGGACGUAGGAGGAAAGAGGGUGUGGUUCGUGGGGUUCGAAAAGUGGAAUGAGUCACGGCCACGUAAGCUGAUUGUGUUUCCAACUCAGAAUCCUUAUCAGUGGUCCCACGCCUUGGGUUGCUUUCUGUUUUGUAUUAAAUACAUUCAUUAAACAAUGUAGUUGAAGUCGAGUACGUGGCUCAAAAUAUGCUACAAAUAUAACCUGGCUUCCACGUCAACAUUUUUUUUAUUAAUUUAUAUGAUAAAAUUAUUGAAAAUACAUUCACUUAUUUCUUUUUUGUUGAAACAUAAAAUAUACUUCAUAAACUUGGCAUGUAUUAGGAUAUUGUUUUAACCAAUUAUUUCAUCCCAUAUUAUUUUAUACAAUUUCCCUUUAAAUAAUAAAUAUUUUUUUUCAAAAAUAAAAAAAAAUGCAUAAAAUUUAUUACACUUAUAUUUUACUCAUUAUUGUUUUUAUCUUUUUUUUCUCUUACUUUUUUUAGUAACUUUGUUUUCUAUUUUAUUUUACCUACUCUGUUUUUUUAAUUUUUUCCAACAAAUGUAAUCAAACUUGUUUACUUUUAUUCAAAUAUAUAUUCUAAUUUAUACCAUUUUAAUAAAUAUUAAAUUUAGUCUACGUAACACCAAUAAGUUAUCUUUUUACAAAGACUAUUAAUACAGAAACUAAAACAAUACUUUACCCUAAAUAUAUGGAAACAAAGGGAAAGGACAGAGAUGGCAAAUAAAUUUUUAUUUUGAAUUAUUUUCGGGAAUUAAGGAAUAUUGUACACAAAAGUAGAAAUUAUGGUAAAGUUUUCUUGAAAUAUAAUGAAAGUUUAUAAUGUUAGCUUAUUAAUAUAUAUUGUUAAAUAAAAAGAAACCUUAUCAUCUUUGCUUUAGACAUUAUAUAAUAUUCAAUAUAGUAGAAAAGGGCAACAUUUUUAUAUUACAAAGUUAUAGCCAACACGCCAAGUUAUUAGAGUAAUUGACAAAUGAGUAAAGAAAGUAGAAUUAAAAAGUCACAUCUAAUAUAUAAAAUAUGAGUUUACAAAAGACUAUGUGUCUAUCGGUACGAACUAUAAAUUUGUUGUUGUUAUUGUUUUUUUCUCUUAGUUUAACGAUUGUAUAUUUUUUUUAAGAUUAUGAUUAUUUUGUUUUUUCAACUAAGCUAUACUCCAAAUUGUAGAUCUGGUUUGGUAUCUAAAUUCACAAUUACAUAAAUUUUGGGUCACCACAUGAUUACAAGAGUUUCGUAAGUCCUUUAGUCACAUGUAUAUGAUUGGCGAUAUCUAAGAUAAGAAUCCUAAUUGUUCUCAAACAUUUGCACUUUGUAAGGUCUUUUGAUUAACUUCAUGAAAACAGCUCAUGCAGAUAACCUAUCUUGGAUAUAUCUAAACUUUACAUAUCUACUUAUAGUAUUAAACAUGAUCAGUUCUAUGAAAUCAGCAUAUGCAUAUAAACUAGCUUGGAUAUACACAAUAUCUACAUAUCAGAUAUCUAUAUAGUAUCGAGCAUGUUAAGAAACUUUAGAAUCUUUUCAAUAAACUUUAAUACAUGUAUAAAAAAAUCACAUACAUAUUAAAAAUUAGGUUAGCUUAACAGUGAUUAACAUAAUCUUCUAUCCUAAAGGUGAAAAGUUCAAAUCUCCCAACUCCCAAUGGCUAUACUAAAAAUCACACUGCCUCCCUCGUGGGAUUGUUAAAUGGAAUGGUUUGUACUAGAAAGCUCACAUGGGAGCUAAAGGAACAAUGGGCCAAGAUUGAAAUUUUCAUUUCAAUAAUGGGCCAACUGCAUCUCUCUUUAUAGGUAGCAUUAAAACUUCAUGAAUGUUGUACCACGAAUAGUUUACACACGUUUAUUAAUCACCAAGUGAGCGAGGAAUUUUAUCCAUCAAAGUUGAUAGUACAAGGUGAAGUGAAAAUUUUAUAGAUCGAGAAGAAUUCAUAAACAGUUUUUAAAGUCUGUCAACCUUGUAAAAUUGAUCUAAGUUCAAACAGUCUAGACAAUAAUUGAUGCCAAAAAUAGAGAAAGUGAGAUGCACAUGUAUCAAUGAAUUUAAAAGGAAAAAGACAAUAGCAUCAGCAUUAGCAUAGUAGAUUCAUUGAAAUAAUUGUUAAAUUAAUGGGUGUUUCAUAGAGUUUGAGUUAAAUUGAAUGAGUUACAUUAGAGGGCCACAUAGAAGGUUAAGGGAAAAUGAGCCACCCAUGGCUGACAAUUUGAUUCACUAUAGGGCUAACUGCAUAUCUCGUAUGGGGUAUGGUUAGCAUUAAAAUCUAAAGAUAUUCUCUAAAUUUCCUCAAAGAUUAAGAUUAAGGAAACAACAAAAUAUUUCUUGAGCCUUUCUAGUUUUUGCUGGGAUACUUAUUUACAAUCUACAAAAGAAUUCUAGAAAGAACUAAUAUACAUACGUCUGCUUAGAUUCUUCAAGAAACUUCUAGAAAAAGUAUCGUCUUCUAUUUUAACAAAGAUUAUGUGUGAAAUGUGAUGUGGAGCUAAUGUUUCAAGGUCUGGAGACUCACUUCGAUUUGAAACAAAAGAGUCGGGCUUUUAACAACUUUCACACACUCACUCAAUACUAAGAGAGCCACUUUCAUCCACCAUAUGUAACCUUUGUCAUUGAGAACUUAAUUUCAAAUUCCUUCGAAUUUUUCUAGUACAACAAUGGCAGGUAUGAGAUUGAACCUCAAGCCAUGCUCAAACUUUUUCUAGUAGUUUUGGAUUAUGGUGAUAGAAGAACUAGAGGGACUUGGAAGCAAAUGAAAUUAGUAUAAGGUUUGGGGCAGGGUAAUUAAAACUGUCACCAAAGAAUUUUGUUUCCAUGGCAAUGAGGCUUCUUUCCGGGAGUUGUAUCUGUUUUGUGUUUGAUUGAGGCAAUGUUUAUAUGGCUUGGAUGGAGGCAUUGAUAGUCCAAUUAUUUCUAGACUUGUGGUAUAAUGACAUUCUUCAACCUAAGCACUAAAAACUAAAAAGCAAUGCUCAUAUUUUGAUGAUGCUUCAAAACAAAAUAUAAGGAUAUAGACCAGAUCCUGCAUACACAACUAUUUCCAUAAUCUUUCAAUGAAGUAUAUAUCAGCCAAAACAAAUAGAACCACACAAAUCCUAUAACUGCAAAAGAGAUACGAAAUUGAGAAAAAGCACAGUGAAAUUCACAACAAAAUACAUCAAGUUCAACAAUGACCUAACAAAACUUCAAACGAUCAUUGGUUAUAAUAGAAAUGUGGACUAAGGUAUCAUGUAGUAACAACUCAACAACCCUCCCCAGUUCUUCAAUUUUUCUAAAAUAAAAAUGACAAUGGCAGGCCAAAAUUCUAAUAUUGUUCUCCGUAAUAACUAAUUGAGUUUUGUUCAAGUUGGCUAUCCAAUUGCAAAAUUUUGUUCCCAUCGAAAAGCAUCAAUCUUAUAUCGGUUCAUAUUUAGAUAAGUAUGGAGAUUCAACUCCAACCGAAGCAUUAAAAAAAAUUGUGAAUCGAGCAAAUAAUAUUCUUUCAUAGUAUCCUAAUAAAUGAAGAAAAUGCACACAGGACAACACGUAUAAACAAAAAUCAAUAUCGAAUAUGAUUACAAAUCAAAAUCAAAAUCAAAAUAAUCCGUCAUUAGGGCAGCAUAGAAGGCUACCACAUUACCAUUGCAUAUCAUAAACACAUACAACGAACAAAUUCAACACAACACCAGCAAUAACGGAAAAAAAAAAAAAGAAAAAAAGGAAGAUUCGAAAGAAAAAAAAUAAAAAUACGUAAUUAAUAAAGAAAAGAAAUGCACAUUAGAUCUAUAAAUUUGGACGAUUGAUCACACGGGAAGAUCGACAAACCCGUCAUGUUGGUCAGGAAGUAGAAUUUGAUCGGAAAGCGGUUGAGUGGACAAAAGAAGGUGGUCGUCGUCGUCGUCGUCGUCGUCAAGCUCAUUGGUGGCAACAUGGACGCAGGAGAAUCGUUCUAAGGAGGAGAAAAAGGCGGAAGACAUGGUAGCCGCAACCCAAGCGGCGACCUGGUCGAGCUUCUCCCGUGAAAGGAUACUGAGGGCAUUGUUGUCGGUGUUUUCCAUCCGAUCUGAGCAAAGCUUUUCCGAGGAGAUUAGAUUAAAAUUGCCGGUUGAAGAAAUGAAUUGGAAAUUUUGGAGAUGAUUUUAGUGAUUUGAAAGAGGAAUUGGGAGAUGAAAUGGAGAGUUCAAUCUCAAACCUAGGGCUCAAUGAAUUUCAAAUACAUUAAAAAACAAAUUCCUCUUUAACUUUUUUUUUUUUUUAAAUACCUCGUGACAAUUUAAGAAUAUAAUAUCUAAAGUGUAUUAUAUUACUUUUAUGUGAUCAUUAGAAAAAGUAUAAUUAUCAAAAAUAGCAAAUAGGAAAUUCGAUAAAUAUUUAUAAG
rnacentral:lncRNA from 1 species